rnacentral:lncRNA from 1 species
CCUCAACAGCUUCAACCUCGUCAAACUCAAAAGACCCGCAAAUCCCUCGAGCUGUUUUAACCCUUCCACUUCGAAUUCUAUCAACUGUUCAAGCCCAUCGAGUUGAACUUCCUUCCAAAAACAGUGACUAAUGUGCAAAUGUGUCAAUUUUCUCAAGUUGCAAUGAAAUGAUGAGCUGGCUAUUGAUUCAUGAUAUUGGGCACACAAUGUUGACAGAGACGGUGGAAGGUAUGUGAGGGAUUGUCGGCAUGGACCAUCUUGGGAGUAAAGACAACACCAGUUCUCAUCAUGACCACCAUAUCUAAGAUUCACCAAUCCAGUGAGGUUUGAGAGAUCCGGGAUCCAUCGCAACGAACUUGAUCUGAGGCUUAGACUUAUCAAGCUUGUGGGGAAGCUCAGGCAAUAGUUCGAGUUUGUUGCUAACGUCAUAAAAAAUAUAUAUAUAAUUAAUUAAAUUAAAUUUAAAACUAAACUUAUUUAAAACAUUUAAAAAUAAAAUAAAAAUCUUUAAAAAAAAACUAAAAGUGGAUGUGGGGCUUUAAUUUAGUUUGCCCUUAGCAAUCUGUUUGUACUCCUCGACCGGAAUUGUUUUUCCCAAUGGUUAUCUCCCCUCUGUGCAUGACAUUUCUCAAUCCCUAAGCAAGAGAAACGAACUGAGCAAAUUUGUUAUUGAAGACUCUGAAUGAAUCUACAAGUAGUGAUAAAUACAAACUUCACAAAGAUGUGUUGUACUUUUACAGAUACUAUAUGUAUCCUUGAAUAAUAUCAAAAUAUUUGUUCAAUCAUUCAUCGUACAUAAUUUAACACAUUUUGCCCAUUAUCCAUUGGACAAUCUAUAUCGUCCCCAUUUCAUUCAGGGAUUGGUUUUCACAUUUGGAAUCACAUCUAAAACUAUAAGAUGAAAUCUGGAGCAUUGGAAAUGCAAGGUACAUCAACAACUCCACAUAAUAAGCAAAUGAUAUCAUAAGGUCAAUGUGCCUUAUACGCCCUCACCAAGUUAGAGAAAACAAUGUUCUAGCAAUAAAGGAUGUCCUAAUUUCCACUGUACAAUCACCUGAAAUGAUUACUUUUUGCAUUUUUUUAAAAAGGUUUGGGUACUAAUGAAAUAAACCAUAUGAGACUGUGGAGGUUAUAAAUCUUAUAGGGUAGAAGUGACAUAACAUUUGUAUUUGAGUGUGCAUCAUGAAAAUGUCAAAAUACGCACAAUUUCGAUGCAACUUAUUUUACCAAAUUAUCAAUGGCAAUUCAAAGGAUUUGCACACUAAGCCAAGCAAAUUCUACCCCGCAUCUAUUGUCAAUUAUCAUCAAUCAUUUUGGUUGGCUAGCUCAAAAUGUACUUGGGCAAUACAUACCUGGACGACAUAAGGGAUCAUCUUUAAUAAAAUGUUUCAAAAUUAUUCAUUUUUCGCGAAAUAAAUAGAGCCUAAAUAAAACUAAUUAAAUUUUAUUACUAAAAUCUAACUACCUAAUCAAGACCUAUUUUUCUAACCAAUUUCCAUAUUUUAAAAAUAUUUAUUCAUUUAUUAAUUUUUUAAUUUAUGGGAGAGGGGGACAGGCUGAUCUGUGUGUGUUGGACUCCAAGGACGCGGGCCGAACUCUUGGGUUUAGUCCACACGUAAAUAAUCGGAUUUCAUAACAACAACUCUUCCAUUUUAACCAUAAAAAGCCCAUUACCAUACUUUUUUCCUUCAUUUUCUACUUCCCUAUUGUUAUUUCUAUUUAUUUAUUUUUUACUUACAAUCGUCUUCUUCGCAAGACCAAGAACUCCUCAAAACACAAAUGGAGAUUUGCAAUCUAAAAUAUUAAAGAAUGAACGAAAAAACACUUCCGCCGUUAAUCCAUAUACGUUUUCCACCACCGUCAACCUUCGGCCACCAUUGUUCGUUGCACUUUUUACCCCAAAACCACAGCUUGCCAUGACAAGCAGGAGAUGAAAAUGUGCAGUGAAACCACCACAAGGAAACCGACUCAAAACGCUUUCGGAGAAUCCAUAAACGUGACCUCAACUCCGACUGCUUUCUCGUUGAUAUUCAACAUUUAACGCCAUUGUUUCAUGGAACACAAAACAGAGCAAGGCAGUGAUUCAGAAACAAGUUUGAGCAUCAUAAAAUAGCUAAAAUCAUAUUUCCGUGACUUAAAAUCGAGUAACACCAUUUAAUCCAGGUCAAUAUACUUUCAGGUUAGCCAAAAACGAAGCUAGCUUGCACCAAUUUUCAUAGACAUUUCAUCGAACUUCUACCAGAUGGUGGCUAUCUCAAACUCCGACUCACAAUCUUAACUCAAAUCAGACCAAUAUAAGCAGUCAACUCAUACCUAAUGGAUUGCGAUCUUUGUAAAAUAUAAUGUCUCAGCUAUUCUUUUCAAAACAGAACACUGAAAGGGAUUAUGUCUGACCUAAAUAAAAAGAGGUCCUGAUCGUAAUUGCAAAUCGUAGCAACAAAAGGAAGCUCCAGUUGAGAUUUAUGUUGGCUAUGAAGCUUGGACUGUAGCUCCUUGCAUUUCACGGUCGGGAAAACAGAGAGGAACAGAGCAAUGAAUUUGCAGAUCUAGAAUGUAGGAAAAUGGCAGAGACCAGGACUAAUCAACAUUAAUAUAAUGAUUUCGAAGCUCAAGAAUGUCGACACAAGCCUAAGUCAGCGAAAUAGGCGACCAUGGUUACAACUUCAGCUCUUCAAGUCACCGCUCGCCUGCGCACAUUUUCAUUUGUGUCGCCCCUUGACGUCCGAGAAAGCCCAAGUCGAUGGGUUUCAGCUAGUUGUUAUGAUGAAUGGAAUGGCUGAACAGUUUCAGAUGUGUAUCGAAAUUUGAAAACCGAUCCCUGAAUAGACUAGGGACGGUAUAGAUUGUCCAAUGCACAAUGGGGAAAAUGUGUUGAAUUGUGCAUAAUGCUGUGUGAAGUUUGAAUUUAGCAUUACUUGUGGAUUCAUUCAGAGCCUUUAAAACCAGAUUUGCCCAAUUUGUUUCUCUUGAUUUAAUCAACACGUAGAGUGGAGAUAUCAAUUGGGCAAAACAAACUGGUUAAGGAAUAUAAACAGAUUGCGGUUGGCUAACAGCAUAGAAGCCCUCUUAAAAUUAUCUAUAGCAAGAGCUCGCAGUAGUAGGAUUGUAGUACAGGUUCUUCUAUAGCAAGAGCUCGUAAUUGUAGGAUUGUAAUACAAGUUCUUCUAAACGAUUAUUUAUGAUGUUGUGAUUAUGGUCACGGAAUACGAUUCUAUGACAUUCUUCUAUCGUUCGUUCUUAUGUCGCACAAGUUUGGGUCGAAGCUGUUCACCAACCAACGACAAAAUUCCCCUACGUUUUGGGGAAUUUUGUCAUAUAACCGAGCAGUUAAUCUCAUCAACCACAUCUUACCAUAUGAACUCCCUACGUUUUGGGGAAUGAUGAACAUAUAAUUGACAUUAUGAAGAAUGCACCAUUAUUAAAGGUACGCCUUACUAUAUUCUGACAAAAAUGCUACAUAGAAAAAGUUAUUAAGUCGAUACUGCUGAUGGAAGUGAUAUUGAGCUUGUUUUUGCUGACAUAUCGCAAGUGAAAUAUUUUUUUGGAAAGAAAGCGAAGAUAUAAAUCGAAACUCAAUUGGCAUUAAAUAAGAAUCUACUCCUAAAUUUUGCAUCCAUUAGAUAUACUCAAUGUGUAGAUUCAACGCGAAAAAUAUGUUGGAUGUAAUAUUCACCAGUCUUACAUUAGCGAUUGAGAUCAAAUUUAAGGAUAUAGUAUGUGGAUAUGUUAUAAGAGGUACACAUGAUGUCGUUGAUAUUUUCUUCUCUUUGCUGAACUUUAAAAUAUCUCAUUAAUUGGAUUUUAAAUUUUGGCCUUAGAAAAACUGGACAAUUAAAUGGAUUAAAAAAAAUUCUACCAAUCUGAAAAAAAAGUACAUGCCUUUCCGGGCUUUGACAACAUUGUUGGAAACGCUACAAAAAAAUUCAUAAUAACAAUAAAAACGUGACGACGCAAUUACAGAAAAAAAAAAGUCACUAAAUUCUUGAAAUCUUUGUUAUUCAAUAGUGAGAAACUAACCCAAGGCACUAAAAAAUCCCAGUCUCACACUCCUCUAUUUCUUUUCCUUCUUUUGCCCCUGACUUUCCGUUCCUUGUACAUGCUGACUGUGCCACCAAAUGAUUCUGCUUCUAAAUUUGGGCAGCCGGUAAUAUUUAGAAAGCACUCGUCUAGUACUUUCGAAUUGAAUACGUUAAGGAAACUUUUCAAUGAUCUGCAAUUGACAAAGAACAAUGUUGUGAGAGUCUCUAGUUCAUCCAAGCCCUUAACUGCUUGAAGAACUUCACAACUGGAAAUCUUCAAGAACUGCAGCUUUUUCAAAUUCGAUAGAUCAUCUAAACUUCCAAUUUUAGGACAGAUGAUUAUAUUCAAUUGCUCCAACGAGUCCAAUGAACCAAGACCUUGGAUGGCAGUAAGAUUUUGACACUUGUGCAGCGUCAACCGCUUCAACCUCUUCAAAUUCGAAAGACCAGAAAAUCCCUCAAGGUCUGAGUUAUACAUGUCAAAUUCAACCAACUGUUCAAGCCUAUUGAGUUGAACUUCCUUCCAACUACAGGAAAGAAUCUUCAAACUUGCCAAUUUUCUCAAGUUGCAACAAAAUGACAAACUAGUUGUCGAUCGAUGAAAUAGCAGUGACAAUGUUGAAACACAUGGUGGAAGGACCCCAAGGAACAGUUGGCAUUGAUCAUCUUGGAAUAAGAAAGGAUUCCGGAACUUAUCACAAUCAUCAUAGCUAAAAUCCUCCAAUUUAGUUAGGUUUGAGAGAUUCAGGAGCUGCCGCAAUGAAUGUGAUCCUAAGCUUAGGCUUAUCAAACUUGUGGGAAGCUCCGGUAAUACUUUGAGUUUGCUACAAUUCCCUAAACUCAAUUUCUGUAGGCGAGGAAGUAGUUUGAUCGUCCGUGGAACAUUUUUAAUAGGGGUGAAUUGCAAUUGCAACACUCUCAAAAGUGAUAAUUGCCAAAUGUCCUCAGGAAUUUCCCACCUUAGAUUCAAGCAACAACUGGCAUGUAGCUCUUCUAGCUCUUUUAGAGCAACAAUGCUCCGUCGUAGCUUUUUUAUCGGAGUAUCCGAAAUCCUGAUGAUUUUUAAUCUACUUAGGUCUCCAAUAGAUUUGGGUAACUGUAGACAUUUUGUGGUUGAAACAUCCAACUCAAGUAGAGAUUCCAAGUUACCAAUCGAGAACGGAAGUUCCCUUAUGUUAGUACACGAUAGAAAGAGAGACUUAAGUUCUCGUAAAUUCCCAAUAGAAUUGGGAAGUUCAUCGAUUUUUGUCCAUUCCAGUUUAAGAACAGACAAGCGGUUUUGGUUACCGAUGGAGUCAGGUAAUCUUGUGAUGGCCGUAUGCGAGAGAUCUAACUCUACUAGCGAUGUCACUCUCGCAAAUGAUUUGGGUAGCUUCCUCAACUUUUCGCAACGGCCUAAAUACAAGUACUUGAGCUUAUGUAACCCUCCGAUUCCUUUGGGCAGCUCCCUAAGAUUUUCGCACCCAUGCGCAUUGAAGUAAAUCAAGCACUUAAGCUUUUUGAGGGAACCAUCAACUUCAGUUAGUUUUUUACAAUCCUCAAGGUUCAAUCUCUCUAAACUCAAAUAAUCGGAGAAGUUUGGAGUCCUGGUCAUGUUGCUACAAUGUGAGAUAUCCAAAACUUUAAGCUUUUUAGCAACCUGUUACAGUAGCAAAAUGAGAGUAAAGGGAAAAUUCCAUACGAAUUUAGAGUUAAUAAAUGGUUGCGCUAGAACCUAGAUGUAAUUGGGUUGACUCAUUUUCCUCAUUUAACUCGCAUAGAUCCGUUUAGUACUAACACCUAGCCAACCUGAUCCACAUAUAUCCACCUAUUUAUCAAUUCAGUGCAAUUUAAUUUAGUGGCCUUGAUUACGAGAUCAACUUAGUUUUACUUGUGGAAUGGCCUUGAUUAAAUCCAUUCAUGAGCGAUUUUAUUUACAGCAUGUUAUUGCCUAUAUAGUUAUGGGUUAGUCAAUUUUAGUUAAAAACAUAAAAAUUGCGUGAGACAAUUCAAUGGAGAUAAACAAAUAUAGUGACGAUGGUACCUUGAAUUGACUCCAUCCAGCCCAUUCCUCUGUGAUUGAACUAUAGCUCAGUUUAAGAACUACAAGAUUGCUUGGAUGGAAAUUGAUGGCCAAGAACUCUCGAGAGACCCCUGUGCAGGUCAUGUAUCUUAACUCUGAAAACUGAUUCUCAAAGUCUCCACUGAAAUUCCCCCCCACUAACAUGAGGAACCUUAUGUUUGGAAGCCUUGAAAACUCUUUGCUUGUAUAAACUCGUGGUUCCCAUAAGUAGAUUGCUUCAAUGUGCUUCUUUCUCUGCCAUUCAAUGGUAAAGUAGCAUCAGUGUAAAUGAAAAAUGUCUUCAUUCUCUCCACCUCUUUUAAGAAAGGGCUCCUAAUUAAUAAAUGAACUAUUGAGAAAAACAUAGAAUUCGAUGGUCAGACAUAUGCUUUUACCUCUUUUGUUCCUAUGAUAUUAUCGGCCGUCUCAGGAUCCCAUAACCUGCUUUGCUUUCUUGGAUCGGUUGGUCUCGUAUCUCCAUGAACAAUUUUCCUUCCGAGAUCUCUCAGUUGGUCGUGCAUCCAGAAUUUGUUGUGAUCAGUUAUCUUUAUUAAGGACAUACAAACAAGGACUUGAAUUGAAUGAUCCGGCCUAAACCCACAAUCCUUCCACAUGUAGAGUGCAUUUGUCUUGUCCUUGUCCACAAAGAGACAUGCGAUGUCGAGAAAAAUCUGUUGUUGCUCAUGAUUCAAGGCAUUGUAGCUAAUCUUCAGCUUGUCCUGGACCUUCUCAUGAGGUAUUUCUCUCAAAUUGUCUAGCACAUCAUACCAUGAGGCUUUGUUUUGACGAUAAACCAAUGAGCCUAUGACUUCAAGAGCCAAAGGAAGUCCUCCGGUCGUAGAAAUUAUUUGUCUCGAAAGAUUGACAUAAUCAUCUGGAGGAGGAUUCCUUCUAAAAGCAUGUCGACUGAAAAGCUCUAGUGAUCGAACAUCAUCCAACGGCUUCACUUCGUACUCCAAAAUUUUGUUGGAUUUUAUGAUGCUUUUGUUCCUACUUGUCAUAAUAACUCUGCUUCCUAAGCCGAACGUAAUGUGGUUGAUGGCUAGUUUCUGGAGUUGCUCCUCAUCAUCCACAUCANNNNNNNNNNNNNNNNNNNNNNNNNNNNNNNNNNNNNNNNNNNNNNNNNNNNNNNNNNNNNNNNNNNNNNNNNNNNNNNNNNNNNNNNNNNNNNNNNNNNNNNNNNNNNNNNNNNNNNNNNNNNNNNNNNNNNNNNNNNNNNNNNNNNNNNNNNNNNNNNNNNNGCAGCACUGAUUGAAAAGGGAAUUUAGUUUGUUGAAUAUUAUCUUAGCAAGAGUUGUUUUACCGAUUCCACCCAUUCCAUGGAUUAGCACAAAGCGCAAGCCCCCGGAGUCCAUGUCCAACAACUUCAGAACGGCCUCCACUGGAUCGUCCAUUCCAACUAAAUGCUCGGUAACGUAUUUGUCUUUUGUCUUCAGCUUCAUCACAAUCUCUUGUAGCACCGAUUGAAUGAAUUUCCAAUGCCUGCCACAUGAGUGAGUUAACUAAGUUGAUAUUGUAAAAGAUGACCUCAGGACACUCAACAUGUGGUUGCAACCAACAUGGCUAGUGCCACUUAUUUAAUAAGCUAGUGCAACCGAUGGGAAGACAUUUUUAUGUGCGUUUAGAACAUGAUUUCCCAGUGAUUUAAACAAAUAAUCACAUACAGAAAAUUAUGACCUUUUUUUAUUUAUUUGCUUCCAAAAUGGUAACACUUUGACAUAGAUGGAUAGGACACUUGCUCUAGUUCCAUGUGAAAAUCUAUCGAUAAUGAGAGAGAAUGUAACUUUUAAAGAUGUGAUCCACAAUUUACAAACACAAAGAUGUAUAAAAUUAGAUCAAUCAAUGAAAGAAUGCCCUCUUGUCUAUCAUUCAAAGAAUAGACUAUUAGAUGUAGGCAUUUUCCCAUGUUAAAGGAAGCAAGGCAUUGCUAAUUGAUUCCUAAUCCCUUUUUAAGGCAGUCUUGGUAGCUAGGAUAACAGCUAAGAAGAAAUGUAUUGAAAGUUUUCACACUUAAGAUAGUUAGAAGCAAAGUACAUGAAAAAGCUAACCCACCAAAUUGGAGAGCUAAAGUUUCGACCAAAAAUAAAAAUAAAUAUUGGAUUGCUAAAGUAAGGGAAGAAUUUAAAAAAAAAAACAAAAACACAAAAAUACAUCCUUGAAUUUAUUAACACAUCUCCCACCUCUAAACUUACCCCCCCCCCCCCCCCCAAAAAAAAAAAAGGAAAAAGAACUAACUGAUUGCUUACCCGGUUAUUGCUUUAUUCGGCUUCGGUGAAUGACAUAAUUGAUUCGGUUAUCAAAAAUAAAUUUGAAAACAAACAUGGUAUUCAUUCAAUUUCAAACAACUUAAACGAGAAUUCAUCCAAGUUUGGGCAUAUAAUUAAUGAAAGUCCAAAGCAAAAGUUAAUGGAGCGCUUCAGGAUCCGUGCAUACCCUUGCUUUUUCAACUCCCAUCCUUUGAUUUGGGCUACACUUUUGAGGGCAUCCUCCCACUUUUGCCUCGUCUUGCGACCGAACUUCUCUUCAUGCUCCUCCAAAGCGCUGACGUACCGUUGAGACUUAAGCUUAACAUCGCAGGCUUAACGUCAUAGAAAAUCGGCAUAAUCUCCUUCUCGGACGGUCUUGGAUUUCUUGCAAUCCACCAUGUGUGCGAGCUCGCGAAGGCACCACGCGCUCGAAGCAUAACCUUUAGAGAAAAUAGGUAUGUAGAUCUUCGACUUUUGGAUGGCGGCCGGUAGCUCAUCAGCUAUUUCUUCACCGACGUGGAGCUCUUCCUCAUCGAGGAAAACACGGAUGUUUGCUUCUAGCAUUCGGUGAUAAAGACAAUCCGUGAAGGCUUGGCGAGUGUCCGGUCCCCUGAAACUCAAGAAGACGUCAUAGUCAAUCGCCGACGGCUCACCACCGCUCGUUCCUGCCUCCGAGCCGUUUCCCAUGUCCAUUCUCACAAGUAUUUUUCUUCUGAGGGUUUCCUCUCUCGUAGCACCUGAACAAGAAAGGCUCGUUCACUUUACCACCGCUGAAGUUCGUUUUAUAUUACGCUUCGGACCUCUCUUCCUAGAACUUGCCCCACUGUUUUUCACAUAAGAAAAGCAAACCAAUUCGAGUCUUCGUCAACUCUAAAAUGGCGUAACCAUUACGCGUAGCUUUUUGAACCCCGGUGGUCUCUCCCUCUUGUUGACUUGACUUUGGCGAACGCCCGAGAUGUAAGCAUGGAAGCACGGACACGUUCAGAGGGGUGUCCGUCUGCAACGCCGACUGCAACGCCGAGAUGGAGAACCGCAAUGCCGCGAUGGAGGGCCGGACGCGAGGCUACGAAGGCAAAGGGGGAACGGAGGCGAGGCAGCGGCGAGAGAGGUAGAGACCGAGAAAGGGAGAGGAGAAGGCGAUUGCUAGGGUUUUUGCCCUUUGGGCUAUUACUUUACUGAUUGCGUUUUCAAUUUUAGGAAGAAGAGCAAGGAGAGAGACGACGGCUUGGGAAGAAACGAAAGCCUCGUGCAACGUGACUUCAAUAUUGGGAAGUGACAGGCGCAGCGGUGGGUGGGGUGGGGGAAGGAAACAAGGGUGAAAUAAAUAGGUGGGACCCAUUUAGCCUCAAAAAAAUAUUAAAUGUUAAAUAACUUUAUUAAUACAUGAUAAGACUACAAAAUAAAUAAAUAAAUGGGUUAAAAAGUUAUUUCAAAAAAUAAAAGCACUCGAUAUUAAAUAAUGAUAAAUUUUGAUAAUCGUAGAAAAAUAUAAAAUUAUUUUAACUCUAAUAACUCGUUAGUUAUUUAUUUCAUUGAUAAUUUUUGUUAAAGUCAAAAAAUAUCUUUCCAAUUUUUUAUGAAUAAAUUUAUUAAUGUUAUUAGUAUAGAUUUAUUAUAGGCUCUUUUUAUUAUUUAUUUAUUUAUUUAUGAAUUUGAUUAAAUAAUCAUGUUUAUAUAAAAAUAUUCAUUUAAUAUACAACGUGUUCCAAUGUGACAAAAUUCUCUUUUCCUGAAAUAUGAUGUGUUGUCGUGUUGUGUCGUAUGUCCGUAUCGGUGCUAAGUCGUUCUCAGUGGAAAUAAAAUAUUAAGGAAAUUACAGUACUAGUCCUUGUUUUCUCCAUGAUUUUAUUUUCGGUCCCCAGCUAUGCUUUUGUUUUUUUGAUUGGCACAAGCAAAAAGAGAUUACAAUUUUAUUUUACUUCCUUAAGUCUAGUAUAUUUUUCAAACUUAAGUGAUAUUUUUGAAAUAGAUUUUUUAUUAGAUUUCUUUUACUUGAAGAGGAAAUUCUCCCCUUUUAUUAGCUAAUUUGUUUCCUAGAUUUGUUUGGAGAGACUUUCUUUUGUCUUUUUUUUUUGGUAGUGCUCUCAUCUUCAUUUUCUUUAAACUUAAGCAAUUGAAACUUUCACAUGAAAACGUUGACAUGUGGAAGAUUUCUCUAUGGAAAGAACGAAGCAAUGCCCAUUAUCAACAUUGAAAUGCAUAAAACAUAAAUAGAUCUAUCAAGAGCACGAAUGAUAAUUAUUCUAUUUUUUUAUUUUUUUUUUAUUUUUCUGUUUUCGAGAGAAUAACUUUGGAAUAGAAAUCCGUCUGAUAAGACAAUAUCAUUUUUCUACUUUUGGAACAAGUUUUUUAUUUUAUAAAUAAGUUUUUAAUAGAAAUGAAAAGUACAAAUUUUCUACUUUUCUAUUUUUAGAAUAAAAAUUAGGAAUAAAAUCUUUUCUCAUCGCUCGUUCUCGCUACUAGCUAGUCACCCACUCGUCACUUGCCACCUCCCGCUGCCUGCUAGCUGUCGUCCCUCGCUGGCUGUCUCUUGCUGCUCACUAUAGUCGGCCACCCAGGAAAAAGAAAUUUAUGUCGUUACCAAACGAAUUUUUAUUUUAAGAAUGAAAAUUUUAUAUUAUCAUUAAACAUGUAAAAUUUUUUAUUUCUAACUAAAAAUUGAUUUCUAGAAUAAAAAUUGCACACAACAUGAGUCCAUAAGCAAGCAAAAAAAAAAAAAAAAAGGGAUCACGAUGCAAAUCAAGUACUCACAGAGGUAGAUUUUCCAAAAGAGUCACUUACAUAAAAUAAAAUAAAAAAAUCAUUAAAAAAUUUAAUAAAAAAGUUAAAUAAAUAAAAAUUAAGAAAAAAAUAAAAGAAAAAGGGCAUUGGCUGGCAAAAGUAGCCUGGCAUAGUUAAAAGCACAACAACAGAGAGAAGAAAAAGGUGGGCUUGCAUGAGAAAGGACAAACUGGCAAAAGCAGUGGAAAUGGUGGGGGUAUGGGUGCGUUUGGCACUAGCUUUGCCAAGUACCUUUGGGUACCCAAAGCCCAUUUGCCCAAAUAUUGGGUGUUUGGGAAAAAAAUUUACACCUGCCUUGAAGAAAUGCUGGCCUUCCAAAGGCUGAAAGCCCAAGGCAGGUCCUAGGCUGCCUUGGGCUUUCGGCAUUUUCGGAAGGUCGAUGCACUGUUCAUCUUCCUCUUCGUCGAAUUCUCGGAUGUCCAGCAGGCGAGGUGGCGAUUUGGCCGGCGAGGUGGUGAUGGGUCGGCGACGGGUUGGAGAGAGGCCGGCAACCGUCGCCGCACCCCGGCGACCGUCACCGACCAGUCGUGCGACCCAGAUCUGGGUCGCGUCGGUUGCCUAGGUCAUGGCGAGGUCAGUUGCCGCGACCUCCGGCGACCCACGACCUCGCCGCGACCCAGAUCUGGGUCGCGGAGGUCGCGGCGACCCAGGUGACCCAAGACCUCGCCGCGACCCAGAUCCUCCGCGACCUCGUGGUGACCUUCGCGGCGCAGUGGGUUGCACGAUGGCGCGGCGAGGGUCGUCGCGACCCUCGCCGGAUCGCCUACCCUUCGCCGGCGGUAACCGGCGAAGCCUUGGCCGACGGUCACCGGCGAAGCUUGGCUGGCCAACUUUCCUUUUUUUUUAAUAAUAAAAGUAUUUUGCAAAUUUAAUUUACCCAAACACUAUUUUGCACAAGUAUACUUCACAAUGGACUUUCACAAAUAAAAUUACCAAACACGCUUUGCAUUUUCAAAAACACCCUUGACUCAAAGGCCUUUACAUUUUCUCAAGGACUUUUCCCAAAAGUCUUCCCAAAUACACCCUAUGUCGAGCACGAGAUGUUUGACCGAGUGCAAGAUUGAAUUGCAAUUUUCUUUUCGUCUACCAAAUAUAUCCCAAGAGGACUCCUCCUCACAAGCCAUUUAAGGCAAAUGAGGAGAGAGUAGUAUGGGAUAGGAUCCCUAUUAGGUUACCCGGCCAAACAUCCCUAGAAAGGGGGAAAGGCGCCCACACCUCAUCCCCGUGAAGCCUUCCCUAGGUAACCAAUCCCGGGCGCGGUUCAAGGAUAAGACGGUGCUUCUCCAUGGAAACAUGGAGGAGGUGGCCGGCCGGCUUGCUUGGCAAAUUCCGAUGGACAUGCCAGGGCCAUUCUGGUAUAUUCAUUCAGCGAUAAAAAAGACGGAUCCCCGGAUUUUUUAUUUAUUUAUUUUAUUUUUGGUGGGAGAGAGGGAGGAUAGGAAGGAGGGAGGGAAGAGUCCCUCAUCCCGCUGCAAGUCUUGCUUUGGUCAUGGGGUUGGGUUUGGUUUGUUUCGUUUUCAUUUUCGUACGUCGUUUUUAGGAAAGCAACUUAUCUUGACAAGUUGCGUCCGCAUAUUUAUAUAUAUCCCUUGACACAUUAGUAUACCUCAAAAGUCUUGCACAGAGUUCCCAUUCACUACUCGCAGGGCCUCAUCUUGAAGCUUGAUAUCGAGGCCUUAUGUCAUUUUAUCAGAUGCGGCUCGGGUUUUUAUUUUACUCCUACUUUAUUUAUUUAAUUGCUUUGGUUAUUGAUUUUUUUUAUUUGCCUAAGGUUUCCCCUCGUCAGAGCACCUAAUCAAUGAAAAGCUCGUUCACUUUGCGUUUGCAUAAUAGAUUGACUAGCCACUACUAAACUUCGUUUGUAUUAUACUUGAGAACUCUAUUUCUAGACACGAAUUUUUAUUUAGAGUAGAUAUGAUACGGAUAUAUCAAUUUGAGAAUUUUUAUGACAUUUACUUUUAUUUUUUGACACAACACAUAGAAAGCGAGAUUGCAAUUUUAUUUUAUUAGUACUUUUAAAAAGGUGAUUUAAAAAAAUUUAUGAGUAGAUUUCCGUUCGAACAGUAAAUUUACUGAUUUAUUAGCUAAUUCAUUUCCUAGAUAUAUUUUGAGUGACUUUUGUUUUUUUGUUUUUUUGUGGUACUCGCACUUUGGCUUUCUUUAGUAUUAAGCAAUCAAAACUUUCUUAUAAAAAUGUUGACAUGUACAUUCACCUCAAAAUUUUUCAUAAUUCUCUAAAAUUUAAAUUACAAUAUUACUAAAUUUGAUGGAAAGCAAAAAAAUUGUUCUUACUUUUUACAAGCCCAAACGAAUAGACCCUGAUCUCUAGGUUGUUUUAUGGAUUUGACUCUUUGAAUUCAGAUGUGAAAAUUAAGUUUUUUUUUUCCCCUUUUUUUGCCCUUUUGAGCUUAGUGAUUGGUUCCAGGCCUUUUAUUAAGCAUUCCAAGUUUUGCAACUAUACUUACAACACCAAAAAAAAAAAAAAAUUCUUCGUAAAAACAGCUAGAAAUUGACUAGAAUUCCCAAUUCCAGUACAAGUUAGUCCUUCAAUUUUCUAAAAAAGGAGCAUGAAAAUGCCCAUUAUCAACCUUGAAAUGCGCAAGACAGAAACAAAUCCACCAAAUUGCACACUAGAUGAGUCCACUUGCAAGCAACAAGCAAAGAAAAAAGAAGGAAUCUCCGAGCGAAUCAAGUACUCACAAAGGAAAGAGAAAAAUCUCCACUAGUUCCUUCCUAUUCUAGUUUCAACCACCAGUUCUCAGGCAGAACCAUAAGUUUAGCACGAUACAAUGGGAACCGAACUAAUUAUUAUGGUUGAAACGGCACUGACUUUCGCCCCUAAUUUUAAUUGUACUUAUUUGAUAGUGGAGCAGGUAACUUGUGUUUUUUCUUUCAAAAGUCAAAAGAUUCCACCAGGAAUUAUGCUUAGCCGCCCAUCUCUCUUUCUCUCUGGCUUGAAUGUUGGAUUAACAAGCUUUCCUUUUUUUAUGUUGUAUUAGUAUUAAAAUUUUAUAUUUCUAGAUAUCUCAACAUUUAAAUUAAUGGAUACUUUUGCUUUUUAAAUGAUCGCAAUAUUCUCCAUUUAGGAAAAGUUAAAGUAAGCUCUUGUAGAAGAACUCAAUAUCAAAUCUAAGANNNNNNNNNNNNNNNNNNNNNNNNNNNNNNNNNNNNNNNNNNNNNNNNNNNNNNNNNNNNNNNNNNNNNNNNNNNNNNNNNNNNNNNNNNNNNNNNNNNNNNNNNNNNNNNNNNNNNNNNNNNNNNNNNNNNNNNNNNNNNNNNNNAACCGGCGAAAGCAGCGGGGGAAAAAGGGAAAAUGGAAAGAAAAAAAUAAAGAGGAAAGAUAAGAUAAAAAAGAGAAAAGUUCAAAAAAUUUACAAAUUAUAAAAAAUGUCCACCUCAGCAUGGUCAUAUUGCAUAAGGUUGCCAAUAAUGUUUAGAAGUCUUUAAAAGAUUUAGGAUUAAAUUAGUAAUUCAUCAAAAUUUUUAAGAUUAAAUUGACACGAUUAAAAUUGGUAAGUCGUGAAAAAAUUUAUAAUUAAAUUAAUAUAAUUAAAAUAUUUAAAAUUGAAUUUGUUGCUGAGUUAUAAAUUUACACUUUUUUGGAUAAUUUUUUCUUAUCGCUGGCCAUAUUUGAUACCUAAAUUUAUCAUAACUGUCAGUCUGUCACUUACAUUAAAAAAAAAAAAAAAAUUAAACGAGUAUAAAUGACAAAAACAAAGAAAAGGGAAUUGGCAGGCCAAAACAGCCUCGCAUGGGGCGCAUAAAAGCAGAGCAACAGAGAGGAAAUGGCAGAACGCUCGGUGUGUAAAAAGAUGCCGAGUGACACUCGUGCUUGGUGGGGGCAUGGUUAUUUGGUUUCCCGUUUUCAUGUUUAAUUAAGUUAACUUAGUACUUGGUUUUCUAUUCAAUGCAUUUUUUUUUAUAUAAAUGUCUGGAGAAAAUUAAAUAAUUAAAAAAAUAAAAAGAAAGAACGAGGGAGACCAAAACAGCCUGCCAUGCAACCCAUGAAAGCACAAGAAUAGAGAAAAUGGUUAAUACCAUGAAAAAAACUCAAAAUGAUACACUUAUAAUAAAUUUACCUCAAAAUUUCAAAGUCAGCUUAAUUGAUCCACCAAAACGAAUCCAAACCAUGUAUCUCAAUGGUAAGUUGAAGUGAUUUCCUAUACAUUGGUUUGUAAUUAAUUGUUAUCAACCAAAUAAAAUAGUUAAACAAAUUUUAAUCUUCCUUUUGACAUUAACUUUUGAACUAUUAUUACCAUAAUACAUUUCUUAAGAUCCAUUUGUUAUGUGAAAAAAUUUCUAUCAGAAAGUAUUCUCCAUAAUUUUUGGUGUUUCGAUCGCUUUGGUAUAUGACUCAAUAAAAAAUAUUCUCAAGGUCAAUGGAAAACUCAUACUCAAAUUUAAUAUAAUGAAUUCUUUAAAACAUUAGAAAAUAUUUCUUGAUAUAUGACAAGACUCCUGCACUUGGAUUAUCCUGAUUACUCCUUUGAGGUACUUUUGAAUAUACUGUGAAAAGUGAAAUGCAAUUUUCUUUCAUCUACCAAUACUCGGUCUAGGAGAGGGUAGAUAUUUUUGCAUGGCAUUUCUUAUUCUUUUAAUGAUAAUAAUAAUAAUAAUAAUAAUAAUGAUAAUAAUAAUAAUAAUAAUAAUAAUAAUAAUAAUAAUAAUAAUAAUAAUAAUAAUAAUAAUGAUAAUCAUAAUAAUAAUAAUGAUAAUAAUGAUAAUAAUGAUCAUAAUAAUAAUAAUGAUAAUGAUAAUGAUAAUAAUGAUGAUAAUGAUGAUAAUAAUGAUAAUGAUAAUGAUAAUAAUAAUGAUAAUGAUGAUAAUGAUGAUGAUAAUGAUGAUAAUGAUGAUGAUGAUGAUGAUGAUAAUGAUGAUAAUACUAGUAGUAGUAGUAGUAACAUCAUCAUCAUCAUCAUCAUCAAAGGUAGUGAUAUUUGCGCUCCCGCGUGAUAGUUGAAUGAGGGGAAGGCCCAAAUAUUUGGUUGGCUAUUUUCACGUUUAAGGCUCCGUUUAUUUUGGAGAACUAGAUAAUUUAAAAAUUAAUUUUAAUUAUUAUUUAUAUUGUCUAUAUAAAUGAAUAUACAAAAAAUAUUUUCAUCAUUCACGAAAAUAUUUAAUGAUAAAUUGUUAGCGAUGAUGAUAACAUUUUGGGUUAAUAUCCUUAAAAACCCUAAACUGGUAUACCUGUAACAAAUUUACUCAAAACUAUUUUUUAACCAUAAAAACUUUAAACCAGUACACCUGUGAUAAAUUUACUCCGACUGACCAAAAAGCCCUAAACUGGUACAUUUAUGACAAAUUUACCCUAAAAUAAUUUAUUUGACCGCAAAAAACCCCAAACUAAUAAAUUUAUGACAAAUAUACUCUCCGCUAAAUUGGAUUAAUACAAAAAAAAAUCACAAAAUUUGUAAACUAUGACAAAUGGAGCGUAAAAUCCCAAAUUGGUAUAUCAAUCAACUGUCACGUGUCAUUUAACUUAAUAUUUUAACGAUAAAUUUAACAAAAACUAACGGAGGGUAAAUUUGUCACAAGUGUACAAGUUUGGAGUAAAUUUGUUAAAGAUAUACCAGUUUAGGGUUUUUUGUGGUAAAAAAAAAAAUAGUUUGGGGUAAAUUUGUCACAGGUGUACCAGUUUGAGAUUUUUCAGGAUAUUAACCCUAACAUUUUUUAUUGGCUAAUUGUUUCAAACAAUACAAGCAAUCGUUUUUCUAAAAAUGCUCAUUAAUUUUUCAUGAUAAAAAUGAAGCCUAAGUUAACUUAGUACAUGGUUUUCUAGUUAAUGCAUUCUUUUAUAUCAUUUCUCAAUAUUUUUUUUUUGGGUAAGGAUAUCAUUUCUCGAGAUUUGAUGUCUUCACAAAUGUAGAUGUAUAUUUUAGGACAUUAAGAUCACUUUUUUUUUUUUGUAAUUUUUAUUGCCAUCUUGCAUGAAUGAAAUGUAAUAAAAAGUACCCAAAAAAAAAAAUUACAUCUUGCAUGUUAUUAAUUUGGAUUGUUUCUUCUUAAAAAAAUAUCACCAAAAAUAUGUUUAGGGGUCCCUUUGGGGAAAUUUAGAUUUUUCUGCAUUAUAUUUAUAUUAUUCUUCGAGUAUUGUGUUCCAUUUAAAUUAAAUUAUCAUUUUAGGGAGCUUAGCAAGUUACAUCCACAUAUUUAUAUAUCCUUUGAUAAAUUAGUUUAUUUUAGAAAACUUGCAUGGACUUUCCAUCUACCACUCUCAGGGUCAUGUCGCGAUGCUUAUUAACGAGGCCUUAUUUUAUUUUAUCGGAUGCGGCUCGGAUUUUAUUUUACUCGCACUUUAGUUUUUUUCGCCUGAGGGUUUCUCUGUCGGAGCAUAAAAAGUAGACUGAGUAGCCACCGCUGAAUUUCGUAUGUAUUACGCUUGACUUAAGACUAAUAUUCCAAGAACAUUCCCUCGUCGAAUGGUCCUUGGAUAGCACUAACCAAAACCGAAUUUUCUCUAGUCGAGUCUACGUCAACUCUAAAACAACUGUUUUUUUUUGGUCGAACCUUAUGGUAGACUUGACUUUUGACAAACUCACAAUAUGCAAGUCCUUCUAAAUGGAUAUCAAAUAUUCAGAAAACUACGGUAUUAGUCCUUGGUAUUCCCAAUAUUUCAUUUUCGAUCCCCGGCUUGGUUUUUUUUUUUUUAAUUUUUGGUGGGGGGGAGAGGGAGGAUAGGAAGGAGGGAGGGAAGAGUCCCUCAUCCCGCUGCAGGUCUUGCUUUGGUCAUGGGGUUGGGUUUGGUUUGUUUCGUUUUCGUUCUCGUACGUCGCUUUUGUUUUCGUUUUUUUUUUUUCGUUUUUUGCCCUUUUCUGGAGGACAGACGAAUCAAUUUAUUUAUUUUCAAAUUAAUCUUCUUUUCGGACAACUUUUUUUUUUUCCCUAGUGGCCGCCCCCCCACACGCAAAGCUUUGACGGUUAAGCACGUCACUCAAAGCAAGGACAAGCGUCGGUCGAGUUCAUCAUGGGAAGACUAUCUUUUUUUCUCUCUUUUUUCUCUUUGGGAGGGUCCGGUCUUGUGUCGCGGGGUUCGUGAUUGGCGGCGGUGCGAUUUUCUCAAUCAGUGCAGGGGCGUGUUUAGACCAAGGGCCUGAGAGAGGGUGAGUAUCUUUGGAUAGCAUUUCUUAUUUUUACCGAUUUUCAAUUAUUAUAGGCACAUGAUAAACUUAUUAAAGAGUUAAUUCCCAAAAAAAGAAAAAAAAAACACAAACAAUUCUAGCCUGAACAUUUUUUUCUUCAAUAAAAAUCAUAAAUUUUAUUCGAGUAUCAAAUCUAGCGUCUGUUAAUUGAAGUUUGAGAUUUUAUAUAUUGUGACAAGUACUUUGGUAGGGCACAACUUUAGAUUCUCCUUCAUUAUACUUCUUAACAAAAUCAAUUUAUAUAUUAAAUGAGAUUGAUUGAUCAAUGUCCAUUUGAAGUAAAUUUUGAAGUUUCAAGGGGAGGGCUUGGGCUUGUUCUAGAAAAUAAGGUUUUGAUCAUGAGUUUGGCGGAUCUUAUCCAUGGUGUCUAUUGAUGGGUGGUGAUCCAUGUCCACAACUUCAUAUUACGGCGAAAUAGUGGAGGUUGGCCACAGAGAUUUAAUUCAGAGAUCUUUUUGACUUGCUGGUGAAGUGAAGAAGACUAUAAAUAGCUUCACCAUUAUUUUUCAAGCUGUAGCUUAGAAAAGAAGAUGAUGGAUAGUGAUUUAAAUUCAGCUAGCAAGCGAUGUGAAUUUAUUGUUGAUGUGGAAUAGUCAUGUUGGACAAUUAAGAUUUCAAGUCAACAGAACUAGAUUUAAGAUUUAAGUGAAAGUUGAUUUUUUUAUAAAACAAAGAAAAAAAAUUUAGAGCAGAAUUGACUUAAUUUUUUUUAGCAGAGUUGUCGUUUAAGGUAAAAUUUAUUUCGAUUACAAAAAGAAGAAGAUUCCACCAGGAAUUACGCGUCUCUCUCUCUCUCCCUCUCUCCCUCUGUGCGGCUAGAAUGUUGGAUUAACAAGUUUUCCUGUUUCCUGUUGUUGCUUUUGUAUUAGCAUUAGCAUUAAAAGUUUAAAUUUCUAGAUAUCUCAACAAUUAAAUUAAUGGAUACUUUUUUUGUUUAAAUAAUCACAAUAUUUUCCAUUUAGAAAAACUUAAAGUAAGCUAUUGUAGAAGAACUUAAUGUCAAAUCUAAGAAGCCGCAUUUUUUUUUUUUGGUAACCGAGGACUCCACCACGGACCCCCCGUGCUCGAACGACUCCUGAGAGCCAAGCCCUUAUACCGCGGAGGAGACUAGCUCAGCAACUCACGGUACAUUUGAAAAUAUUUCUUAAGAUCCAUUUAUUUUGCGAAAAUAUUUCUAUUGAAAAACAUUCUCCAAAAAUUUUCAGUGUUUAGAUUGCCUAAGAAAAUGAAUUUAAUAGAAAGUAUUCUCAUAUUUAGAGGAAAAUUUAUACUUAAAUUCAAUAUAAUGAAUUCUUUAAAAAAAUUAGAAAAUAUUUUUAGAAAUAUAGCAAGACUCGGGCACUUGGAGUUUUCUAAUUAUUCCUUUGAGAUAUUUUCAAUUGUACUGUAAAAAAUGAAUUGCAAUUUUCUUUGAGAUAGGGGAUCUCUACAUAGCAUUUCUUAUUCCUUAGGCACCUAGAUAUUUCCAAAGUGUCACUUGCAUUGAAAAUAGGAAAAAUUCCAAAUAAGAGCUUGAAAUGCUUUUAUUUUCUUAAAUAAAGACUUAAAGUUGACAUUAUUUCAAAUAAAGGCCCGAAGUACCUUUAUUUUCUUAAAUAAGGGCCUGAAGUGCCCAUAUCAAUUUUAAAAAGGGCUUGAAGGGAAAUUUUGCCUUCUAAAAUUUUUAAUUUUUUUAAUUUUAUUCUUUCUUUAAUCUUUUUUUUUUCUUUUCAUUAAAAAAAAAAGGAAAACAAAGGUGGGAGGGAGCCCCUCUUGCCUGUGGCCAUCGCCCCAUUACUGGUGGGGCAACGACAGCAAUGGGGGGAGUGCCCAUAUCAGUUUUAAAAAGGGCUUGAAGGCAAAUUUUGCCUUUUAAAAUUUUUAAUUUUUUUCCUUUUAUUCUUUCUUUAAUCUUUAGAAAAAAAAUGGUAUUUGUGCCACAGUGUGUAUAAUUUAGGAUUUUUGAUGGUAUCUUUCCAUAAAUAUAUAUACUUUUUACAUAUAAAAUGGACUAGGCCUAGACAAAUUAAGAUCAAGAAAACAACCACAUGCAUAGCCUCCCCUAUUUGCACUUCAAGCUCGGGAGGGUCUACCGAGCUGUUAGGUGUAUAAUUACCUCUCUCGUCAAAAUUUCAUGUCUUAAUUACGAUUUGAAGUUUCACUUUAAAAGUAUAGUCUUGACACCUUUGAGUCUAAUAUCGUUCUCAUAAGCUUGGGACGAUUAUAGAAAGUAAAUGGUAUGAGGGUCGAUUAUAGAGAAAAAAAAGGAUAAUGAAAUAGUGUCUCCCCAAAUACUGUUUUCGUCAAAUAAGGAGGAAGAGAAGGGAAAAAAAAAAGGAAAAAGAAAAAAAAAUUAAUGAAAAAUUCGAAAAAAUAAUGAUGUAUUAAGUAGAAAUGUCCACAUGAGUAAUUUCCGGCCUAAUUUGGCUGGAUUAGCUCAAUUGGUAUUAAUAUGAAAAGAUUUAGAAUUAAAUUAGUCCAAUUAAAAUGUUUAGGACUAAAUUUGUACAAAUGCAAUAAAUUUAUGACUUUUUUGGUAUAUUUUCAUUAUAAUGGCAUAGUUGGUCCCUAUAGUGUUUUUCCGAGAUGUGCCCCGCUCCUUGUAGACUUGACUUUUGACAAACCAACGUUAUGCUAGUUUUCUUGUUACAAUAUUAGUCCUUGGUUUUUCCAGGAUUUCGCUUUUGGUCCCCGACUAUGCUUUGUUUGUUUUUAACGAGGCUGUGACAAAUCGAGAUUGCAAUUUUGUUUUAUUUCCUUAACCAAGAACUUUUACAGAUAGUAUUUUCAGAAUAAGGUUAUUCUAUUUCUUUUAGUUGAUGAGUAGAUUUUCUUAUUUAUUAGCUAAUUUGUUUCCUACGUCUGUUUGGAGUGACUUUUAUCUUCUUCUUUUUUUCUUUGUUUGUUGUUUUUCUUAUUUUUGCGGCGUUCGCACUCUGCCUUUCCUUAAUCUUUUGCGAUUAAAACUUUUGAUAAUAUAAAUGUUGACAUGUACAUGCACCUAUAAUUAUUUUCACAAUUUUCUAACAUUUGAAUAAUAUUUCAAAAUUUGGCAGAAAAGCAAAAAUGUUGUUCUUACUUUAUACAAAGGCCAAACAAAAGCCCUGCUCGCUAGAAGUAUGGUGGGUUCUAACAAAAGUUCUCUAAACAACGUAAAACAAGUUCUUUUUUUUUUUUUAAAUUUAAAUUGUGAAUUCGAUGACGAACUGAACCCUAGAUCCAUAAAGCUGAUCCAGAAUUCCUCUUCUUAUAAGAUUGUCAUCGUUAGACGGUUGCUUAGAUACACUUGAGAAAAAUGAAUUAAUUCUGCAAUAGAACAAUGGAAGAUUGCACCAUUCCAGUGAAGGUAGACAAGAGAACAGUUCAAUCAUGUCAGCUUCUAAUGAAAAUGGCAUUAUAGUCUCCCCAAUAGCACCUAGUUUAUAUUUUAUUAUCUUCUCAUUAAAAUUUCAGAUAGUUUCUCGUGUUGUUUUUAGCAAUUGUGUGCCAUGAAAAAAUUGAUAUCGUCCUAAAGGCAUUAUACACACACACCGCGGGUGAUGAAAUUGGAAACUUGCUACGACCAUGAACUCCUACUAGCAUGAAGAACAUGUCAAACGAUAGCAAUUUUCUACGUUGGUCGCAUCAAUCACGUUGUCCGCAUGACUACAUAUCAUUUUAUUUAGCACUUAAGUAUUAGAUAUAUUCAUGUUCAAUUGGCUUGUUACCUCAUAAGUCUUUAUCACAAACUUUAAAUGUCACAUUAAAUAUCUUGCCUAUUUCUCGACAUGAAAUAGUACAUCUUUUUGUGUAUAUUAAUAAGUGAUGCAUGAGCAUCAUCAAAAAAGUUUGUGCGUGAACGACUUUUUUUACUACAUUUUUUGUGCAAUCAACAACUCGAGGUAGCUUUUGAUCAUGCUGGGUUAAUACCAUUUCGCCAAUAUCCACAUUAUCAACAUAAGCCAACUGCAUAGCAGGGAGAGUGCAUUAAAUUGUGCACAAAUGCAUGAUCAAAAAACUAAUUUUUAUAGUGUCCCCAUCUGAAUUUUUUGCAGCUAAAACGGACAUGAAUUUUUGUUAAAAAAAAUAAUAAAGUUAAAUAAUAAAAAAGGGACAGAGCCCCAGUCCAAUUGGGUCAUUUUUCUAAAGGACCUCGUCCGGCCCACAUCAGCUUAACCAAGCCCAAUUCACUACAGCCCAUUACUUUGACCUAGUUCAUUAAGCCCAUGAGUAGAUCAGGUCCAAGUGGAUUUCUUAUUCUUCGUUCCCUUCAGUGAUCCUGUAUCCGCUAGCAACCGCCGCCGUAGCCGUUCCGCUAUCGCCGGUUCGGCCACGGUGGUUCGGCCAGGGAGUUUGAAGUGCUUGAAGAUUCUUCGUUCAUUGGUCUUCAUCUGUGAUCCUCAGCCUCGUCGUCAUGGAUGAUAUCUCCCUUUGAUCCGAUCGCUAUUUGCGGCGGACAUCAGCAAUUUCAAGAUAAUUAUCGUCUAUGCUCUGUUUCCGUUGCUCUUCACGCGAAGCAGAGGCUGAGAGCUAUAUAGACAACUGCGAUUGAAGUUGUUUUUGAUAAUUUGAACUUUUAUUGAUUUUGAUUUGAUGAACUAAAAGUGAACCAAUGCUUUAUAUCCGCCGCCGAUUCUUUCGGGAUGUGUGACACAUUGGUUGGCUAGGGUUUUUUUUUUUUUUUUUUUGGGAGUUGAAGAAUUAAUGAAAUCAUUUGAAUCUGUAUGCGAAACGUUGGAACAAUUAAUGCGAAUUACGCAUUUUGACCAAACUGUGAUUUUGAUGGAGCCAGUGAAUAGUUCAACUUUUUACUCUGUUGGUAUGACAACUUGAUCUGCUGAGCAUUUGAGAAAGAACAGAAUUUGUUUCUAAUGGAGCCAUCAAGAAAAUGUAGUUUGCAUAUGGCCGCAUGGGAUUCUUUUCAUGUAAAACUCGAAAGGGUUUGAGCCUACUAGUGGGUGCUCCCCUUGACAUUCUCCUCGCUUCAAUUAACAGCAGUGGGCAGCUAUUGUUCUUCGCUUGAGCAAUGUUGGAAGUUUACAUCGAUCAAUCUUUACUCUCUGACAUUCUUUGUUUAUAUAGAUUGUUAAAAUUGGUUGCCUAAGUGCUUCAGACAAUUCUCUUCUCAUGACAGUCUUGCAUUGGAUGGGGAAAUUGAUGUCUAAGAAAUUUAUAGACAUCAACACUAUGUGAAGCCCUUAAAAUUAUCUGUCCAACAAGUAGAGUCCUUGAAAUUAUUUUUCCAAUAAUUGGUAUCAGAAACACUGUUUAGCAUUGCGUUUUAGAUAUUGCUCUGCCUACUGCUAACACAUUUAGUGCACUUGUUGCAUCAUUUAAAAGGGAAGCUGAACAAUUUAAUCGCAUGAUAACUUAUUGCUUGUAUGGUUGCUGACAGACUCUUCUAAGAAAAUUAGGAAGCCAAAACCUUGGAAGCAUCCUGAAGCAAUUACAAGGACACAACUGAUGAAGAUGCGUGAGGAGUUUUGGGACACUGCACCUCAUUAUGGUGGGAGACAAGGUAUUUCUAAAUUGUUAGGAUAAGAUGGUGUUUAACAUAAUGCACGGUCACCACCCUUCACCUUCACCCACCCACCCAGCGCUGUGGGAGGGGAAAACUUUGCUUUGCACAAUGAGUAGAUCAUACCUACGUGAGUCGUAAGUGCUAUUUUUGCUUGAACACGUUUGAGCAAUUUCCUUUUGAAUUCUUAAGUUUCUUGCAUAAAUGUGCUGUGUAGCAUAUUUAUCAGGCUGUUGUUGAGUACAAAACUAUGGAUAAUGGACAUUGCACGAGAAAUAUGUUUUCCAUGGGAAAGCAGGACAUGGCUUAUCUUCUUAUUUUGGGGGAACUCAUCGGAUAUUUGCGGUCUUCUUGUGACUAGAUAUAAUUUUACUUGCCAUACUCAAGGAUUGCAGUUGUCUUUAUUGCUAUAGAGGGAGGGAUGAGAUUUGAGUAACCAUGACCUCUAUACAUGCGUCUAUUCCUUAGAAAGUGGUCACCAUACUCAAGUAUUGGUGAUGUUAUUUUCUUUAACUCAGCAAUGCAAUAAGUUACCUUGGUUGCCGUAUGGGAAGCUUGCUAGCUGCAAAUUCUCUUCUAUUUAUUUUAUGGAAAGAAUGUUGUUGAAUGUAAAGUUUACUAUGUUUUACUGCUCAUUCAUCAAGUAUUAAAAUGACUUGAAAUACGAACAGCAAUUGGAUAAAGCACAUUCAUUUAAAGGUAGCAGAUGCCUUUUUGUACCUUGUGAGUUGUACAAUACUUUUCACUUAAAAGUGGACUGUGUGAAUUAUUUAGAAGUGGGGAUCCCUUUUCGAAAAAAUGUGCUUACCUGUUCGGUGUUCAUAUUGAAACUUGUGGAGGCUAGAACUAUGAUGAAUGAUAAUGUUUAUGGGCCUACUUAUUCAUUCAUUUUUAAACUUUUAGUGAGGUUAUACUUUUACACUUCUAGCUUGAGUAGUCUAUCCUCUAACUUGAAGGCUGACACUGUUUUGCUUUGCCUUUGUUAAGCUACAGUCUUUCUCCUACAUACUAUCAUCUUUGAUUAUCCUAAGGCUGCGUUUGGUUGUCUGGAUUUUUAAUUAGGAGAGGACUGGAUAGGAUAAGAUAUGAAAUCUUGGGAUUUUGUUAGGUGAUUGCAGUAAUAAAAUUGGAUAUCUUCACAUUACAUCAUGUACAUUGUUUAAUAUAAAUAAUAUAUUAAUAUAAAUGAAUAAAAAAAUUUACAAAUAGAAAUGAUAAUAAUCUCUUAUGAUAUUCUUGCUUACUUUACUUUUAUUUGCUUUUUUAUUUUAUUUUUCUCUUUUUUGGAUUAAUUUCUUUUUUAUUUCUUUCUACCCAUUCCACUAUUCUUUAAUAAAAUUCUAUUAAAAAGUAAACUGUAUCAAUAUACCUAAAUUACUAAAAUACUAGAAUAUGUAAAUUUAUAUUAUAAUAUAAUAUAAGCAAAAAUAAGAUUAAAUUAAAAUUUGUUAUUUUGAAUUUUUUAUAUUAUAAUUUAAAUAUUAUUUAUUUUGAAAUAUAAUUUUUUUUUAAUUUAAGAAGUUUGUCAUUCGAGAAAAAUAACUUUUCUAUUAUGAAUAUUAAAAAUCCUAUCAACUUUUAUCCUACCUCCCCAUAAAAUGAUUUUAUCUUGUCUAUAUUCCCUCUAUAUCCGACUUUAUUUUGUCUUAACUUAGUACCAAACAUAGGACAGAAUAAAUUUUAUCCUAUCUUGAAUCUUAUCUCGACUGCCAAAUGCAGCCUAAGUGAUUUGAACAUUUAGUAGGUUUUGCACUACAUCUCUCACUCUUAACCAAUUCAAAGAGGGAUUUCUGGAAUUCAGGUAUGUGGUGGUGUGGGGGUGUGUGGGACCCAAUUUUUUUUUUUUGGGGGGGGGGGGGGGGGCAGCGAGGGGCUGUUUACAUGUCAGGACGAGGCAGUCCAUCGCAUGAAAUAAACUUUCUUUGCUGUUGAAAUGAUUGUGUGGGUUGACAAGUCUUGAGGGUAUGCUUGUUACUUCAAGUUGCUUAGACGCUUUAAGUAUGAUCCUAAACCCAUACGCCAGACGCUUUAAGUAUGAUCCUAUUUAGAAGAUGUGGCACAUAUCAAAUAUCAAAAGGCCACCCAUAAAAUGAAAGGUUUGUUGUAAGUCAAAAAAAUAACUUGCUAGUAAUAUUGUCGACUAACAUUAAUAAGUGAUACCCAGUUAAUAUGAUUUUCUGGAGAUUUAUCUUCAAUUGGUGAAAGUGCCUAAAAACUACCAAGCGUGUUAUCCUUGAAAAUAGGCUCAGGCUACUUCAGCUCUCACUGUAGCCAACACUAAUUUGCUUUGAGUCACAAUGCUUUGCAUUCGUGACAAUGCAGUAGUAGUUUUGUUAUUGACUGACCAGAUGUAUUGCAGCAUGAGUUUGGGCCAGUCUGGUAAUGUGAUGAGAAAUGCACGUUCCACAAGACUUGUGGGAUUUUUAAAGCAUUGCACAUCAAUAUUCCUUGUCUACAAUUAAGAAACCUUUAUAGCAACCACUGUGGAGUAUGACAUGCAUGAUUGACAGAGGGAGUGGGGAGGGAGUGAGGGAGGGAGGUUUCUAGGUAGGCACAUAAUUUGUGCAUAUUUUUUGAGAUAUAUUCAAGCCUCAUCUUCUGUGCAUUUUCAGUGGUGAAACUUUUAGAGAGACUGAAGAUGGUGAAGGAGCUGACCUGAAUUGGCAUGUCAAUAUCUUGAUGACAUAGUUAUGUUAUCUGUUGUAUAUUACCUGACUUCCCCUUAAUCUCUAUAAUUAUUAAAUCUCUCUGUCUCACUACCUCUCAUUUCAUAUCACUGUUGUAGACUGGUUAAGCAAUUUAAUUCUGCUUUCAGAGAUAUGUGAUGCUCUGCAUGCGGCAGCAGAAGCAGAUCUAAUGCUUGCCCAAGCAAUUGUGGAUAGUGCUGGUGUGAUUGUUCAGAGAGCUGACUUGACAAUAUGCUAUGAUGAAAGAGGUGCUAUGUUCAUCUAUUCACCCAGUCCCCCACCCGCUUCUUGUCCACCACCACCUAGAAAUCUUUUCCAUCUCUACUGUCCUGUCCAGCAUCUAAUUCAUGCGAUGUUGAUUGUUGCAGGUGCGAAGUACGAAUUGCCCAAGUACGUUUUGAGUGAGCCAACCAAUUUGAUUGAUGAAAAUUGACAAUGGAGGUGGGGCAGAUUUUGCUCAGCUUCGUGUGUAAAUCCUGUGAAUUGAUAUUGAUAGUUUGGUAAAACAAAUUGCAUCAAAGUGGAGGUCAUUCAGGCAUUUCAAUGAUGCACGCUUAAAUACAAAUUUUACGUAACUUCUACCUCAUGAGAUGUAUAACUACCACAAUUUCAUAUGGUUUGUUUCAUUAGUACCUGAACCUUCUAAAGAAACACGAAAAGUAAUCAAUUCAGGUGAUUGUUACAGUGGAAAAUCAUGACAUCCUUGAGUGCUAGACCAUUGUUUUCUCCAACUUUUUACUGUUUCUCAGGCACAUUGACCUUGCAAUAUUAUCUGUCUGUUAUGUGGAGUUGUUGAUGGCCCCUAAAUUCCAAUGCUCCAGAUUCAUCUCGUACCUCAUUACAGUUUCAGAUGUGUUUUGAAAUUAGAAAACCAAUCCCUGAAUAGACUAGGGACAAUGUAGAUUUUCCAAUGCACAAUGGGGAAAAUGUGUUAAAUUGUGCACAAAUUCGUGUGAAGUUGAACUUAGCGUUACUUGUACAUUCAUUCAGAGCCUUUAAUACCAAAUCUGCCCAGUUUGUUUCUCUUGAUUAAAAUCACACGUAGAGUGGAGAUACCUAUCUGUAGCAAGAGCACGUAGUUGCAGAUUCACAGUACUAGUUCCUCUUACUGAUUGAUCAUGAUGUUUUGAUUACGGUUAUGGAAUACGAUUGUAUGACAUUCUUUUGAUGGCCUACAAAGCGAACAUUUGGCCCCUGAAAUCUCAAGCCGAAAAUCCUCGUCACGCUACUAGCCGUGAGUGGCAUCCUCCUAACGUUCAUUCGUAUCUACCCACAUUUAGGUCAAGUUGUCCACCAACCACGACAAAAUUCCCCUUCGAUUGAUAAAAAAGUUCCUAACGAUUUGAAGAUCAUUAGACAUGGUAUACGAUUUCGUGUAUUGUUUGUUUUUGGUAGUCAUUUAAUGGGCAGUUAACUCCGUCAACUAUAUCUACCGUGAAUAGACUCCCCACGUUUUACGGAAUGGUCAACAUACAUAAAAGACAUUAAAGGUCUGUCUUCUCCUAUUCUGAUAAAAAUGCGAUAAAGAAAGAAGUUGUGAAUUUGAUGGAACCGACAGAAGUGAUAUUGACCUUGUUUUUGCUGACACAAAUCAAAAGUCAAUUGGUUCUAAGUGAGAAUCGACUCCGAAAGUUUUGCAUCUAUCAGAUAAAUUCAAUGUAUAAAUUCAGCAUGAAAAAGGUAUUAAAUAUAAUAUUCACCAUUUCCAUGAGCCACUAAGAUCGAUAUCAAGCAAAGAGUACGGGCAUAUGUCAUAAGAGGUAGAAAUAAUUUCGUUGGUAUUUCCUUCUUUCCGCUCAACUGCAAGAAAUAUUAUCAAUUGGAUUUUAAAUUUUAGCCUUCAAAAGAAUUUGGACAAUUUUAUGGAUUCGAAAUAAGUUUUAAAAGAAAAAACUCUACAGAUGCGAAAAAAAGUACAUGCCUUUCUAGGUGGUGAAAACAUUGUUGGAAACACUAAAAAUUUUCAUAAUAAUGAAAAAAACAUAAGACACAGUCUAAGAUAAACUGGAGAACUAAAAUGUCACUAAAUAAUUGAUUGGCCGCCACUUGGUCAACCUAAUAUGCGGGGAGAGUCAAGGACAACACAUUUAAUUAUGACAGACACUGGAAAAGUCAAAAUCAAGAAGUCAAUAUACAUGAAUAAUUCCACAAGGAUCACAAAUUAUGGUGUCCAAUUCCAAAGGUACUUAUCGAUCAAUCUUCGAACUAAUCUUGUCAAUUGAAACUCUACCGUUCCGUCGUUAAUAUAUAGUGAGGAAUUAACCCUAGUGGCACUAGAAUUCCCAAUCUCACGCUCCUCUUUCUCUUUGCUUCUUUUUUCCUGGACUUCACAUUCCUCGUACGUGCUGACUCUGCCUUCAAAUGGAUUUUCUUCUAAAUUCGGGCAGCCACUAAUUUUUAAAAAGCACUCCUUGGGUACUUUCGAAUUGAAUACAUUAAGGAAACUUUUCAAGAAUCUGCAAUCAGUAAAUUUCAAAUACUUGAGAGUCUCUAAUUCAUCCAGGCCCUUAACUACUAGAAGUUCUUCACAUCCUCGAAUUGACAAGGACUUCAACCUUUUCAAAGCCGAGAGAUCAUCUAGACUUUCAAUCUUAGGACAAUAAGUUAUUGCCAAUUGUUCCAACGACUCCACCGAAGCAAGACCUUGGAUGGCAGUUAGAUUAGGGCAUUCAUACAGACUCAACAACUUCAACCUCUUCAAACUUGAAAGACCGGCAAAUCCCUCAAGAAAUUCUAACCUUCUCACUUCGAAUUCAAUCAAUUGUUCAAGCCCAUUGAGUUGAACCUCCUUCCAACGACAUUGAUAAAUCCGCAAACGUGUCAAAUUUCUCAAGUUGCAAUGAAAUGACAAACUAGUUAUUGAUUCAUGAUCAUGAAGUGUCAAUGUUGACAAAGAUGGUGGAAGGAACGCGAGGGAUUGUCGGCAUGGACCAUCUUGGAGGUACAAAGAACAACUCCCAUCAUGACCACAAUAACUCAAAUUAGCCAAUUUAGUUAGGCUUAAGAGAUUCUCAACCCAACGCAACGAACUUGAUUUAAAGCUUAAACUUAUCAAACUUGUGGGAAGCUCACACAAUACUUCAAGUUCGCUGCAACCAUAUAAUCCCAAUCUCUCUAGGUGAGGAAGUAGUUUAAUCGUCUUUGGAAUAUUUCUAAGACGGGUCAAUUCCAAGUUAAGGACUCUUAAAAGUGAUAAUUCCCAAAUGCCUUCAGGAAUACCCCAUUGCAGAGACUGGCAAGCCUCGACAUGUAGUUCUUCCAACUCUUUUAGCUCAACAAUGCUUCGCGGUAGCUCCCUUAUCAAAGACUCCGAAAUAUUGAUGACUUUUAAUUUCCUUAGGUCUCCAAUAGAUUCUGGUAAUCGUUGACAUUGUGUUCCCGAGAAAUCUAACUCUUGUAGUGAUUCCAAGUUCCCAAUUGAGAUAGGGAGUUCCCUUAUUUUAGUAUAUGAAAGAGCAAGAGACUUAACUUCUUGUAGGUUCCCAAUGGAACUAGGAAUUUCUUCGAUUUUUGUGCAUCGCAGUUGAAGUAGUGACAUGUGCUUUUGGUUACCAAUGGAGUUUGGUAAUCUUGUGAUGGUAGUAUGCGAGAGAUCCAACUCUAUUAGUGAUGCAACUCUCGCAAAUGAUUUUGGCAACUUCCUCAACUCUUUGCAAUUUCGUAAAUACAAGUAUUCAAGCUUCUCCAACCCUCCAAUUCCUUCCGGCAAUUCCCUAAGACUUGUACACCCAUUCGCAUUGAAAUAAAUCAGGCACUUAAGCUUUUCAAGGGAACCAUCAACUUCAAUUAGAUUACUGCAACCAUUAAGGAUUAAUCUCUCUAAACUCGUAUGAUGAGAGAAGUCUGGAGUCUUGGUCAUUUCUUCGCAACCGGUGAGAUCCAGAACUUUAAGCUUCUUGGCAACCUGUUACAAUAGCUAGACGAGAGUAAAGGGAAAAUUCCAUGCGAAUAUACAGGCAAUAAAUGGUUAUGUUGGAACUGACUUGCAAUUUAGUUGACUCAUUUUCCUCAUUUAACCCACAUAGAUCCGUUCGUGUAGUACUAACACUUAUCCAACCCGAUCCACAUAUAUCCACCUAUAUGUCAAUUCAACUUCUUCGCUGUAAUGUGUUAUUUAAUACAAUAUAAUUAUAAAUGGCCUCGGCUACGACAGCAGCUUAGUAUUUCAUGUGAAUGGCCCUGAUUAAUCCAUUCAUGAGCCAUUUUAUUUACAAUAGGUUGUUGCCUAUAUAGCCAAGGUAUAGUCAAUUUUAGUUAAAAACAUAAAAAUUGCGUGAGACAAUUCAAUAGAGAUAAAGAUUAACAAAUAUAUAGAUGGAUGGUACCUUGAUUUGACUCCAUCCAGCCCAGUCCUCUGUUAUGAAACUAUUAGAAAGAUCGAGAACUACUAGAUUGCUUGGACGAAAAUUGAUGGCCAAGAGCUCUCGAGGACAUAAAUGCCAAGUCAUGUAUCUUAACUUUGAGAGUUGAUUCUCAAAGUCUCCAUCUAAUUGCCCCCAAAUUAAUUCGAGGAACCUUAUGUUUGGAAGCCUUGAAAACUCUUCGCUUGUAUAGGUUCCUGAUGCAAUUCCAUCUAAGCAGCAGAUUGAUUCGAGGGCUAACGGGACUGCUUGAAUGGCCUCUAAUUCAUCUCGCCCUAAGCAGAGUGCUACAAUGGCUUCCUUUCUCUGCAAUUCAAUGGUAAAGUAACACAUCAAUAAAUAAAAAUGUUUUCAAACUCUCUCUCUAUUAAAAAAAGCUUGCUAAAUAAAUGAAAUAUUGAGUAAAGUUAGAAUUCAAUGGCCAAACUUAUUGUUGCACCUCUUUUGUUCUUAUGAUAUUCUUCGCCAUAUCAGGACACGACAACCUGCUUUGCCUUCCUAGAUUUAUCAACCUCGUAUCUCCACAGACGAUUUUCCUCCCGAGAUCUCUCAAUUGGUCAUGCAUCCAGAAUUUGUUGUCAUCAGUUAUCUUGAUCAGGGACAUGCAGACAAGGACUUGAAUCGAAUACUCUGGGAAAAACCUACAAUCCUUCCACAUGUAGGAUGCAUUUGUCUUGUCUUUGUCCACAAACAUACAAGCGAUAUCAAGAAAGAUCUGUUUUUGCUCAUGACUCAACACAUUGUAGCUGAUCUUCAGCUUGUCUUGGACCUUCUCGUAAGGUAUUUCUUUCUGAUGGUUCAAUACAUCUAUCCAUAAGGCUUUGUUUUGGCGAUGAAGUAAUGAGCCUAUAACUUCAAGAGCCAAGGGAAGUCCUCCAGUCGUAGAAACUACUUGUCUCGAAAGACUAACAUAAUCAUCUGGAGGAAAGUUUCUUUUAAAAGCACGCCUACUAAAAAGCUCGAGUGAUUGAACAGAAUCCAAUGGCUUCACUUCGUACUCCAAUGUUUGGUAAGCUUUUAAGAUGCUUUUGUUCCUAGUUGUAAUAAUAAUUUUGCUUCCCAAGCCGAAAGAAAUGUGCUUGAUGGCUAGUUUCUCGAGUUGUUCCUCAUUACCCACAUCAUCCAAAACGAUGAAAACUUUCUUGUUAGAAAGUUGCUGCGCAAUCAUUUUGAUCCCAUCAUCAACAUCAUUAAUUACGUCACGAAAGCCUGAACCAAAAAAUCAGAUAAUAGUUGUUUCUGUAAAGUCAUGAGGCCAAAGCUGAGCGACAUCUCUUGAACAUUUCCCAAAAAGUAGCAAUGACUAAAGAGUGAGUUUAGUUUAUUGAAUACAACCUUAGCAAGAGUCGUUUUACCAAUUCCUCCCAUUCCAUGAAUUAGAACAAAGCGCAUGACCUUGGAGUCCACGUCCAACAACUCCACGACAGCUUCCACUUGUUCAUCCAUUCUGACUAUAUGCUCAGCAACGUAUUUGUCUUUUGUCUUUAGCUUCAUCACAAUCUCUUGUAUUACCGAUUUAAUGAAUUUCCAGUACCUGCCAUAUAAGUGACUAAUCUAAGUUGAAAUUGUAAAAAGAAAACAUCAGGGCGCUCGGAAAGUGGUCACAUCAACAUGGCUAGUACGGCCUACUAAAUCAAUUAGUGCACCCAAAAGGAAGAGGCCUCUUAGGUGAGUAUGAUUUAAACAAAUAAUCAUAUAGCGAAUAGUUUGAACUUUUUAUUAUAUAUUUGCUUCUGAAAUGCUAACUCUACCAACCGGCGAUUGACAUGGAUGGAUGGGAAGCUUGCUCCAAUACCAUGAAAAAAUCUCUAGAAAAGAUAUAUAAGUUACAUCUACCAAUGAAAAGAAUACCGGGUUCCUGCAUAUAUAUAUAUAUAUAUAUAUAUAUAUUUUAAAUUUGGAUGAAUGACUUGGUUACCAAAAAUAGUUUAAAAAACACACAUGGUAUUCAUUCAAUUUCAAACCACCUAAACCAGAUCUAUCCAAGCUUGGGUAUAGAGUGAAAGUCCAAAACAUAAGUUAUAGAGUACUUUACCACACCUACUUACCCUUGGUUUUUCAGUUCCCAUCCUUUGAUUUGGGCAACGCUUCUGAGGGCAUCCUCCCAUUUUAACCUUCUCUGGCGACCGAACAUAUCUUCAUGCUUCAUCAAAGCGCUAACGUACAGUUCAGACUUAAGCUUGACAUCGCGAGGCUCCAUGUCAUAGAAAAUCGGCAGAAUCUCCUUCUCGGAUGGUUUGGAUUUCUUGCAUUCCACCAUGUGUGCAAGCUCAUGAAGGCACCAUGCACUCGAAGCAUAACCUUUAGAGAAGAUGGGUAUGUAGAUUUUUGACUUUUCGAUGGCUGUCGAUAGCUCAUUGCCUAUUUCUUUACCGAUGUGGAGUUCUUCCUUGUCGAAGAAAACACAGAUGUUCGCAUCUAGCAUACCGUGGUACAGGCAAUCCGUAAAUCCUUGGAGUAUCUGGUCCUCUGAAAUUCAAGAAGACCUCAUAAUCAGUCGCCAACGGCUCACCGCCUCUUAUCUCAGCCUUCGAGCUCUUCCCCAUGUCCAUUCUCACAACUAUUUUCGGUUUCCUCUAUCAGAGCACUCAUUCACUUGGCUUUUGCAUAGAAAGUAAUUGAGUAGCCACUACAGACUUCAAUUAUUUUCCCUCGUCAAGUCGACGUCAACUAUUAAAGGGCGUAAGCAGUCGUUCUCAGUGGAAGCAAAAUAUUGAGGAAAUUACAGUAUCAGUCCAUGGCGCUCCCGAGAUUUUAUUUUUAAUCCCUGACCACGCUUUGUUUUUUUUGGCUGGGCACAGACAAAUCGAGAUUAUAAUUUUAUUUUACUUCCCUAACUCUAGGAUUUUUGUGAAAUUAUUUUUCAAACUCAGGUAGCAUUUUUUGAAAUAGAUUUAUGAUUAGAUUUAUUUUACUUGAGCAGUAAAUGUUCCCAUUUUAGCUAAUUGGUUUCCUAGAUUUGUUUGAAGUGACUUUUAUAUUUUGAUUUUUGAUUUUUAUUUUGCGGCACUCGCACCUUGACUUUCUUUUAUCUUAAGCAAUUGAAACUUUCAUAUGAAAAUAUUGACAUGUACAUUCACCUAUAAAUCUGUCAUAACUCUCCAAAAUUUAAAUGACAAUAUUACUAAAUUUGACGGGGCUCACUUUUUAUAAGGCCAAAUUAAGAGGCCCUGAUCUCUAGGUUGUUUUAUGAAUUUUAAUGGUUUGAACUGUAGGAAAGAUUGCCUCUUUGAAUUCAGAUGUGAGAAUUAAGUUCUAUUUUUUUUGUCCUUUUGCACUUUUUGCGCCCAGUGAUCGGUUCUGGACCUUCUAUUAAGCAUUUGGAGUUUUGCAGCUAUAGUUAGGACUCCAGCAGGAAAAAAAAAAGCAUUUUGCCGUGGAAGCAACUAGAAAUUGACUAAUAUUUGCAAUUCUAGUACAAUUUAAGACCUUCAAUUUUCUGAAAAAGGAACAUGAAAACUUCCCAAUAAAAGUGGAAGUUUCCUCCAUGGAAAGAAAUAAUAAAUGCCCAUUAUCAAUCUUGAAAUGCGUAAGAUAGAAUCAGAUCCAACAAUUUGCACAUAAGAUGAGUCCAUACGCAAGCAGCACAAAAAAAAGAAAAAAGAAAAGAAUCACGAAGCAAAUCAUGUGCUCACAGAAGACAGAGAAAAAUCUCCACCAAUUUGAUCCAAUUCUACAGGUAGCCCAUGGUAAGAAUCUAGAGAAACAAAAAUAAUAUGUAGCAAGUAUGUCAUCCCAAAUACUAGGUUCUCCUAAUUUUCAAGGGGACAGCCGUUCAGUCAUCAAAAUUCUUCUUCGAAUUUUGAUUCAUACCAUAAAAUCAUCUAAUAGCAGAAUUUUAAUGCACAUACAGAAUCGUAAGUUCAGCACAAUGAAUCGGAAUCGAAUUGGCGGACAAAACAACUUAGCAUGGUACACAUAAAAAGCACGACAAUAGGGAAGAAAAAUUGGGCCCGCGUGAGAAAAGACAAACCGGCAAAAGCAACGGAAAUGAGGUGAACUGGCAGAACUCUCAGUGGGCUAUCAUGGGCAUCAGGAGUAAUCGAUUCCUGGUGUAAAAUCAGAAAUCGGACUGGGUCCUGAAAAUCGGAAGUGGGGAUUGGAUCAGUUGAUCCUAGGACCAGGAAGCAUACCGUACCAACACCGGUCCAAUCUGGUCCAAUAGAAAUUGUCACUUAUUUUUUCUCACAACUUUUUUCUCAUUACUUUUUUUCCCACUACUUAAACCGAAUUGAGAUAGUACUUAAUUCGCAUUUUAUUAAUUUUUUAAAAAAUUAUAAAAUGUGAACAAAUAUAUUUAAUUAGUCUGAUCCGGUUCUUCUUUGGAAUCAAGAACUGGACCGCUUGGACACCGAUUUCACUAGAUCAACUUUUUACUGUUUCUCAUGCACAUUGACCUUGUAAUAUCAUCUGUCUGUUAUGUGGAGUUGUUGAUGGCCCCUACAUUUCCAAUGCUCCGGAUUCGUCUUGUAAUUGAUUAUAGUUUCAGAUAUGUUUCGAAAUUUGAAAACCGAUCCCUUAAUAGACUAGGGAUGGUAUAGAUUGUCCAAUGCACAAUGGGGAAAAUGUGUUGAAUUGUGCACAAUGCCGUGUGAAGUUUGAAUUUGGCAUUACUUGUGGGUUCAUUCAGAGCCUUUAAAACCAGAUCUGCCCAAUUUGUUUCUCUUGAUUUAAUCAACACGUAGAGUGGAGAUAUCAAUUGGGCAAAACAAACUGGCUAAGGAAUAUAAACAGAUUGCGAAUGGCUAACAGCAUAGAAGCCCCCUUAAAAUUAUCUAUAGCAAGAGCUCGUAGUCGUAGGAUUUUAGUACAGGUUCUUCUAUAGCAAGAGCUCAUAAUUGUAGGAUUGUAGUACAAGUUCUUCUAAACGAUUAUUUAUGAUGUUGUGAUUAUGGUCACGGAAUACGAUUCUAUGACAUUCUUCUAUCGUUUGUUCUUAUGUCGCACAAGUUUGGGUCGAAGUUGUUCACCAACCAAUGACAAAAUUCCCCUUCAACUGAUAAGAAAAAAUUUCUUGUAUUGCUUGUUUUUGGUAAUAAUCUAACCGAUCAGUUAAUCUCAUCAGCCACAUCCUGCCAUAAUGAACUCCCUACGUUUUGGGGAAUGAUGAACAUAUAAUUGACAUCAUGAAGAAUGCACCAUUAUUAAAGGUACGUCUUACUAUAUUCUGACAAAAAUGCCACAUAGAAAAAGUUAUGAAAUUGAUACUACUGAUGGAAGUGAUAUUGACCUUGUUUUUGCUAACAUAUCACAAGUGAAAAAAAUUUCUUGAUAGAAAGUGAAGAUAUUAAUCGAAACACAAUUGGCAUUAAAUAAGAAUCUACUCCUAAAUUUUGCAUCCAUUAGAUACAUUCAAUGUGUAGAUUCAACGCGAAAAAUAUGUAGGAUGUAAUAUUCACGAGUCUUACAUUAGCCACUGAGAUCAAAUUUGAGCAUAUAGUAUGUGGAUAUGUUAUAAGAGGUACACAUGAUGUCAUUGAUAUUUCCUUCUCUUUGCUGAACUUUAAAAUAUCUCAUUAAUUGGAUUUUAAAUUUUAGCCUUAGAAAAACUGGACAAUUAAAUGGAUUAAAAAAAAAAAUUCUACCGAUUUGAAAAAAAGUACAUGCCUUCUAGGCUUUGACAACAUUGUCGGAAACACUACAAAAAAAAAUUCAUAAUAACGACAAAAACGUGACGACGCAAUUACAGAAAAAGAAAAUGUCACUAAAUUCUUGAAAUCUUUGUUAUUCAAUAGUGAGAAACUAACCCAAGGCACUAAAAAAUCCCAGUCUCACACUCCUCUCUUUCUUUUCCUUCUUUUGCCCCCGACUUUCCAUUCCUUGUACAUGCUGACCGUGCCCAAAAACGAGUCUGCUUCUAAAUUUGGGCAGCCGCUAAUAUUUAGAAAGCACUCGUCUGGUACUUUCGAAUUGAAUACGUUAAGGAAACUUUUCAAUGAUCUGCAAUUGACAAAGAACAAUGUUGUGAGAGUCUCUAGUUCAUCCAAGCCCUUAACUGCUUGAAGCACUUCACAAUUGGAAAUCUUCAAGAACUUCAGCUUUUUCAAAUUCGAUAGAUCAUCUAAACUUCCAAUUUUAGGACAGAUGAUUAUACGCAAUUGCUCCAACGAGUCCAAUGAACCAAGACCUUGGAUGGCAGUAAGAUUUUGACACUUGUGCAGCGUCAACCGCUUCAACCUCUUCAAAUUCGAAAGACCAGAAAAUCCCUCAAGGUCUGAGUCAUACACGUCAAAUUCAACCAAUUGUUCAAUCCUAUCGAGUUGAACUUCCUUCCAACUACAGGAAAUAAUCUUCAACCGUGCCAAUUUUCUCAAGUUGCAACAAAAUGACAAACUAGUUGUCGAUUGGUGAAAUAGCAGUGACAAAGUUGAAACACAUGGUGGAAGGACCCCAAGGGACAGUUGGCAUUGAUCAUCUUGGAAUAAGAAAGGAUUCUGGAACUUAUCAUCAUUAUAGCUAAAAUCCUUCAAUUUAGUUAGGUUUGAGAGAUUCGGGAGCUGCUGCAAUGAGCAUGAUCCUAAGCUUAGGCUUAUCAAACUUGUGGGAAGCUCCGGUAAUACUUUGAGUUUGAUACAACACUUUAAACUCAAUUUUUGUAGGUGAGGAAGUAGUUUGAUCGUCUGUGGAACAUUCUUAAUGGGGCUAUUUUGCAAGUUCAACACUCUCAAAAGUGAUAAUUGCCAAAUGUCCUUAGGAAUUUUCCACUUUAGACCCAAGCAACCAUUGGCAUGUAGCUCUUCCAACUCUUUUAGCGCGAUAAUGCUCCAUCGUAGCUUUUUUAUCGGAGUACACGAAAUCCUGAUGAUUUUUAAUCUACUUAGGUCUUCAAUAGAUUUGGGUAACUGCAGACAUUUUGUGUAUGAAAUAUCCAACUCAAGUAGAGAUUCCAAGUUACCAAUUGAGAACGGAAGUUCCCUUAUUUUAGUAGCCGAUAGAAAGAGAGACUUAAGUUCUCGUAAAUUCCCAAUAGAAUUGGGAAGUUCAUCGAUUUUUGUAUAUUGCAGUUUAAGAACUGACAAGCGAUAUUGGUUACCAAUGGAGUCGGGUAAUCUUGUGAUGGCCGUAUGCGAGAGAUCUAACUCUACUAGCGCUGUCACUCUCGCAAAUGAUUGGGGUAGCUUCCUCAACUUUUCACAACGGCCUAAAUACAAGUACUUGAGCUUCUGUAACCCUCCGAUUCCUUUGGGCAGCUCCCUAAGAUUUUCGCACCCAUGCGCAUCGAAGUAAAUCAAGCACUUAAGCUUUUUGAGGGAACCAUCAACUUCAAUUAGUUUUUUACAAUCCUCAAGGUUCAAUCUCUCUAAACUCAAAUAAUCGGAGAAGUUUGGAGUCCUGGUCAUGUUGCUACAAUGUGAGAUAUCCAAAACUUUAAGCUUUUUAGCAACCUGUUACAGUAGCAAAAUGAGAGUAAAGGGAAAAUUCCAUACGAAUUUAGAGUUAAUAAAUGGUUGCGCUAGAACCUAGAUGUAAAUGGGUUGACUCAUUUUCCUCAUUUAACUCACAUAGAUCCGUUUAGUACUAACACCUAGCCAACCUGAUCCACAUAUAUCCACCUAUAUAUCAAUUCAGUGCAAUUUAAUUUAGUGGCCUUGAUUACGAGAUCAGCUUAGUUUUACUUGUGGAAUGGCCUUGAUUAAAUCCAUUCAUGAGCGAUUUUAUUUACAGCAUGUUAUUGCCUAUGGGUUAGUCAAUUUUAGUUAAAAACAUAAAAAUUGCGUGAGACAAUUCAAUGGAGAUAAACAAAUAUAGUGACGAUGGUACCUUGAAUUGACUCCAUCCAGCCCAUUCCUCUGUGAUUGAACUAGACAACAGUUGAAGAACUACAAGAUUGCUUGGAUGGAAAUUGAUGGCCAAGAACUCUCGAGAGACCAAUUUGCAGGUCAUGUAUCUUAACUCUGAAAAUUGAUCCUCAAAGUCUCCGUUGAAAUUCCCCCCCUCUAACAUGAGGAACCUUAUGUUUGGAAGCCUUGAAAACUCUUUGCUCGUAUAAACUCGUGUUGGUUCACAUAAGGAAAUUGCUUCAAUGGCCUUCUUUCUCUGCCAUUCAAUGGUAAAGUAGCAUUAGUGUAAAUGAAAAAUGUCUUCAUUCCCACCUCUCCCCUUUCUUAAGAAAGGGCUCCUAAUUAAUAAAUGAACUAUUGAGAAAAACAUAGAAUUCGAUGGUCAGACAUAUGCUUUUACCUCUUUUGUUCCUAUGAUAUUAUUGGCCGUCUCGGGAACCCAUAACCUGCUUUGCUUUCUUGGAUCAAUUAGUCUCGUAUCUCCACGAACAAUUUUCCUUCCAAGAUCUCUCAGUUGAUCGUGCAUCCAGAAUUUGUUGUGAUUAGUUAUCUUUAUUAAGGACAUACAAACAAGGACUUGAAUUGAAUAAUCUGGCCUAAACCUACAAUCCUUCCACAUGUAGAGUGCAUUCGUCUUGUCCUCAUCCACAAAGAGACAUGCAAUGUCGAGAAAAAUCUGUUGUUGCUCAUGAUUCAAGGCAUUAUAGCUGAUCUUCAGCUUGUCCUGGACCUUCUCGGGAGGUGUUUCUCUCAAAUUGUCUAGCACAUCGUACCAUGAGGCUUUGUUUUGACGAUAAACCAAUGAGCCUAUGACUUCAAGAGCCAAAGGAAGUCCUCCGGUCGUCGAAAUUAUUUGUCUCGAAAGAUUGACAUAACCAUCUGGAGGAGGAUUCCUUCUAAAAGCAUGUCGACUGAAAAGCUCUAGUGAUCGAACAUCAUUCAACGGCUUCACUUCAUACUCCAAAGUUUUGUUGGAUUUUAUGAUGCUUUUGUUCCUACUUGUCAUAAUAACUCUGCUUCCUAAGCCGAACAUAAUGUGGUUGAUGGCUAGUUUCUGGAGUUGCUCCUCAUCAGCCACAUCGUCAAGAACGAGCAAGACUUUCUUGUUAGAAAAUCGUUGCGAAAUCACUUUGAUCCCAUCGUCGACAUCGUUGAUUUGAUCUUGACAGCCCGAACCCAAUGUGUCAGACAAUAAUUGUUUUUGCAAAUUUAUGAUACGAAAGCUGGUUGACGAUUCCCGAACAUUUCCUAGGAAGCAGCAUUGAUUGAAAAGGGAAUUUAGUUUGUUGAACACCAUCUUAGCAAGAGUUGUUUUACCGAUUCCGCCCAUUCCAUGGAUUAGCACAUAGCGCAAGCCCCCAGAGUCCAUGUCCAACAACUUUAGAACGGCUUCCACUAGAUCGUCCAUUCCAACUAAAUGCUCGGUAACAUAUUUGUCUUUUGUCUUCAACUUCAUCACAAUCUCUCGUAGCACCGACUGAAUGAAUUUCCAAUGCCUGCCACAUGAGUGAGUUAACUAAGUUGAUAUUGUAAAAGAUAACCUCAAGACACUCAACAUGUGGUUGCAACCAAUAUGGCUAGUGCCACUUAUUUAAUCACAAUUUCCCUAUGAUUUAAACAAAUAAUCACAUACAGAAAAUUAUGACCUUUUUCUAUUUAUUUGCUUCCGAAAUGGUAACACUUUGACAUAGAUGGAUAGGACACUUACUCUAGUUCCAUGUAAAAAUCUAUCGAUAAGGAGAGAGAAGAUAACUUUUAAGGAUGUGAUCCACAAUUUACAAACACAAAAAUGUAUAAAAUUAGAUCUAUCAAUGAAAGAAUGCCCUCUUGUCUAUCAUUCAAAGAAUAGACUAUUAGAUGUAAGCAUUUUCCCAUGUUAAAGGAAGCAAGGCAUUGCUAAUUGAUUCCUAAUCCCUUUUUAAGGCAGUCUUGGUAGCUAGGAUAAGAGCUAAGAAGAAAUGUAUUGAAAGUUUUCUCACUUAAGAUAGUUAGAAGCAAAGUACAUGAAAAAGCUAACCCACCAAAUUGGAGAGCUAAAGUUUCGACCAAAAAUAAAAAUAAAAAUUGGAGUGCUAAAGUAAGGGAAGAAUUAAAAAAACAAAAACACAAAAAUAUAUCCUUGAAUUUAUUAACACAUCUCCCACCUCUAAACUUACCCCCCCCCCCCCCCAAAAAAAAAGAAAAAGAAAAAGAACUAACUGAAUGCUUACCCGGGUUUUGCUUUAUUUGGCUUCCGGGAAAGGAAUAAUUGAUUCGGUUAUCGAAAAUAANNNNNNNNNNNNNNNNNNNNNNNNNNNNNNNNNNNNNNNNNNNNNNNNNNNNNNNNNNNNNNNNNNNNNNNNNNNNNNNNNNNNNNNNNNNNNNNNNNNNNNNNNNNNNNNNNNNNNNNNNNNNNNNNNNNNNNNNNNNNNNNNNNNNNNNNNNNNNNNNNNNNNNNNNNNNNNNNNNNNNNNNNNNNNNNNNNNNNNNNNNNNNNNNNNNNNNNNNNNNNNNNNNNNNNNNNNNNNNNNNNNNNNNNNNNNNNNNNNNNNNNNNNNNNNNNNNNNNNNNNNNNNNNNNNNNNNNNNNNNNNNNNNNNNNNNNNNNNNNNNNNNNNNNNNNNNNNNNNNNNNNNNNNNNNNNNNGGCACCACGCGCUCGAAGCAUAACCUUUAGAGAAGAUGGGUAUGUAGAUCUUCGACUUUUGGAUGGCCGCCGGUAGCUCAUCAGCUAUUUCUUCACCGACGUGGAGCUCUUCCUCGUCAUGGAAAACACGGAUGUUUGCUUCUAGCAUUCGGUGAUAAAGACAAUCCGUGAAGGCUUGGCGAGUGUCCGGUCCCCUGAAACUCAAGAAGACGUCGUAGUCAAUCGCCGACGGCUCACCACCGCUCGUUCCUGCCUCCAAGCCGUUUCCCAUGUCCAUUCUCACAAGUAUUUUCUUCCGAGGGUUUCCUCUCUCGUAGCACCUGAACAAGAAAGGCUCGUUCACUUUACCACCACUGAAGUUCGUUUAUAUUACGCUUCGGACCUCUCUUCCUAGAACUUUCCCCACUGUUUUUCACAUAAGAAAAGCAAACCAAUUUCGAGUCUUCGUCAACUCUAAAAUGGCGUAACCAGUACGCGUGGCUUUUUGACCCCCGGUGGACUCUGCUUCUUGGAGAGCCGACUUUCACGAACGCCCAAUCUGUAAGUCGUUCUCAGAGAAAUAAAAUAUUAAGGAAAUUACAAUACUAGUCCUUGUUUUCUCCAUAAUUUCAUUUUCGGUCCCCAGCUAUGCUUUUUUUUUUUUUUUUGAUGGGCACAGACAAAUCGAGAUUAUAGUUUUAUUUUACUUCCUAAAGUCUAGUAUCCUUUUCCAAUUAAGUGAUAUUUUUGACAUAGUUUUUUAUUAUAUUUCUCUUACUUGAAAAGGAAAUUCUCCCCUUCUAUUAGUAAAUUUGUUUCCUAGAUUUGUUUGGAGAGACUUUCUUUUGUCUUUUUUUUUUUUGGUAGUGCUCGAAUCUUGAUUUUCUUUAAACUUAAGCAAUUGAAACUUACACACGAAAACGUUGACAUGCGGAAGAUUUCUCCAUGGAAAGAACGAAGCAAUGCCCAUUAUCAACACUGAGAUGCAUAAAACAGAAAUAGAUCCACCGAGUGCACGCAUGAAUCAGUCUAAUUUUUUUUUUCUAUUUUUCUGUUUUCGAGAGAAUAACUUUAGAAUAGAAAUCUGUCUAGUAAGACAAUUUCAUUUUUCUACUUUUGGAAUAAUUUUUAGUCUAUAAAUAUGUUUCCAAUAGAAAUGAAAAGCAAAAAAUUUCUACUUUUCUAUUAUUAGAACAAAAAGUAGGAAUAAAAUCUCUUCUCAUUACUCGUCCUCGCUACUAGUUGGCUGCCCACCCGUCGCUUGCCACCUCUUGCUGUUGUCCCUUGCUGUUGUUCCUCGCUGGCCGCCUCUUGCUGCCCACUACCUUCAGCCACCUGGAAAGAAGAAAUCUUGUGUUAUUACUAAACGAAUUUUUAUUUCAAGAAUAAAAAUUUUAUAUUAUUAUCAAACAAAUAAAAAGGUCUAUUUCUAGCUAAAAAUCGAUUUUUAGAAUAGAAAUUGCACACAGCAUGAGUCCAUAAGCAACCAACAAAAAAAAUGAAGGGAUCACGACGCAAAUCAGGUACUCACAGAGGUAGAUUUUCCAAAAGAGUCACUUACACAAAAAAAAAAAAACAAAAAAAAUCAUUAAAAAAUUUAAUUAAAAAGUUAAAUGAAUAAAAAUUAGGAAAAAAUAAAAGAAAAAGGGCAUUGGCAGGCAAAAGUAGCCUGGCAUGGUUAAUAAAAGCACAACAACAGAGAGAAGAAAAAGGUUGGCGCGCGAGAGAAAGGACAUACUGGCAAAAGCAGUGGAAAUGGUGGGGGCAAGAUUGCAUUGCAAUUUUUCUUUUCGUCUACCGAAUAUGGUGAGCGCUUGCUUGGCAAAUUCCGAUGGACGUGCCAGGGCCAUUCUGGCAUAUUCAUUCAGCGAUAAAAAAGUUUAAUCCCCGGAUUUUUUUUUUUUUUUUUUGCGAGGCAGAGGGAGGAUAGGAAGGAGGGAGGGAAGAGUCCGUCAUCAUCCCGCUGCAAAUCUUGCUUUGGUCAUAGGGAUGGGUUUCGUUUGUUUCGUUUUCGUUUUCGUUUUCGUUUCCCUACGUCGUUUUUGUUUUUGUUUUCUAUUUUUCCCCCUUUUUUGCCCUUUUUCUGGAGGACAGACGAAUCAAUUUAUUUAUUUUUAAAUUAAUCUUCUUUUCGGACAACUCUUUUUUCCCCCUCGUGGCCGGCCCCCACACACAAAUCUCUGACAGUUAAGCAAGGACAAGCGUCGGUCGAGUUCAUCAUGGGAGAGGACUCUCUUUUUCUUUCUUUUUUCUCUUUGGGAGGGUCCGGUCCCGCGUCGCGGGGCGGAAGGAGAGGGGCCCAGUCCGUGAUUGUCGGAAGCUGGGCGGAAAUUUAGAUUCAUUUCCAUUAUAUUUGUAUUAUUCUCCAAGGAUUGUGUUCCAUUUAGAUUACAUUACGCUAAAUUUUCGUAAUUACAAGAACGAUUUUUAGGAAAGCAACUUAUUUUGGCAAGUUGCGUCCGGAUAUAAAUAUAUAUAUUCCUUGACAAAUUAGUACAUCUCAAAAGUCUUGCACAGACUUCCCAUUCGCUACUCACAGGGUCUCAUCUUGAAGCUCGACAUCAAGGCCUUAUGUCAUUUUAUUAGACGCGGCUCGGGUUUUUAUUUUACUCGUACUUUAUUUAUUUUAAUUGCUUUGAUUAUUGAUUUUUUUUUUUUUUUUUGCCUGAGUGUUUCCCCUUGUCGGAGCACCUAAUCAAUGAAAGGCUCAUUCACUUUGCAUUUGUAUAAAUACAUCCAUGUCAUAUUUACUCUAAAUUAAAAUUCAGGUCUAGAAAUAGAGCUCUCAAGCACAAUACAAACGAAAUUCAGUAAAUUUAACUCUAGGGCUUCUCAGAUCCCACUUUUAGAAAGGUGAUUUUUUUUGUAAAAUAAAUUUAUGAGUAGAUUUCCACACGAACCGUAAAUUUCUAGAUUUAUUAGCUAAUUCGUUUCCUAGAUAUAUUUGGAGUGACUUUAUAUAUAUAUAUAUAUAUUUUUUUUUUUUGCGGUACUCGCACUUUGGCUUUCUUUAGUAUUAAGCAAUCAAAACUUUCUCAUAAAAAUGUUGACAUGUACAUUCACCUAAAUUUUUUUUCAUAAUUCUCUAAAAUUUAAAUUACAAAUAUUACUAAUUUGAUGGGAAAGCAAAAAAGUCGUUCUUACUUUUUAUAAGCCCAAACAAAUAGACCCUUAUCUCUAGGUUGUUUUGUGGAUUGACUAUUUGAAUUCAGAUGUGAAAAUUAAGUUUUUUUCCCCUUUUGCGCUUAGUGACUGGUUCCAGGCCUUUUAUUAAGCAUUCCGAGUUUUGCAACUACACAUACAACACCAAAAAAAAAAAAAAAAAAUACUUGGUAAAGACAGCUAGAAAUUGACUAACAUUUCCAAUUCCAGUACAAGUUAGAAAAUCAAUUUUCUAAAAAGGGGCACGAAAAUGCCCAUUAUCAACCUUGAAAUGCACAAGACAGAAACAGAUCCACCAAAUUGCACACUAGAUGAGUCCACCGGCAAGUAACAAACAAAGAAAAAAGAAGGAAUCUCCGAGCGAAUCAAGUACUCACAAAGGAAAGAGAAAAAUCUCCACUAGUUCCUUUCGAUUCUAGUUUCAAGCACCAGUUCUCAGGCAGAACCGUAAGUUUAGCACAAUACAGUGGGAACCGAACUAAUUAUUAUGGUUGAAACGGCACUGACGUUCACCCCUAAUUUUAAUUGUACUUAUUUGACAGUGGAGCAGGUAACUCGUGUUUUUUAUUUCAAAAGUCAAAAGAUUCCACCAGGAAUUACGCUUAGCCGCCAAUCUCUCUCUCUCUGGCUUGAAUUUUGGAUUAACAAGCUUUCCUUUUCUUUUUUUUUUCUGUGGUUGCUUUUGUAUCAGCAUUAAAAGUUUAUAUUUCUAGAUAUCUCGACAUUUAAAUUAAUGGAUUGCUUUUUUAAUGAUCGCAAUAUUCUUCAUUUAGGAAAAGUUAAAGUAAGCUCUUGUAGAAGAACUCAAUAUCAAAUCUAAGAAGCCGUGUUGAUGUCUUUUUUAUUAGCAAAAGCAAAAUUUUAAAGUCAGCUUAAUCAAUCUAUCUAAACGAAACCAAACCAUGUAUCUCAAUGGUAAGUUUAUUUGAUUUCUUGCACAUUGUUUUGUAAUAAAUUUUGACUAAAUAAAACAGUUAAACAAAUUUUAAUUUUCUUUUUUGACAUUAAUUUUUGAAAUUUUACUAUCAUAAUACAUCACUUUGAGUCCAUUUAUUUCGCAAAUUUUUUCCUUUUGGAAAGCAUUCUUCAUAGUUUUUGUUAUGUUUCAUUUAGGAAAAUGAGUCCAAAGAAACGAUUUUCAUGAUCACUAAAAAAUUUAUACUCAAAUUUAGUAAAUAAAUUCUUUAAAAAGUUAGAUUUUUUUUUUUUUGUAAAUAUGACCAGACUUCAGCAUUUGGAGUAUCCCGAUUAUUCCUUCGAGCUACUUUCGGUUGAAAAAUGAAUUGCGACUAUCUUGCCCCUACUGAUGCUCGGUCUAAGAGAGGAUGGCUACUUUUGCGUAGCAUUUUAUACCCUUUUUUGGAACAUCUGAGAGAAUUUCAGAGUGACUUUGAUUUAUCUCGUAACAAAAUAUUGACAACAUAAUGUGCUACAAGUGGGCAACUAGAUUCUUUCAAGUGUCACCUGCAAUAAAAAAAUUUAUCAUAAAUAAUAAUAAUAAUAAUAAUAAUAAUAAUAAUAAUAAUAAUAAUAAUAAAUUUAAUUAAUUAAAAAAAUUAAAGAAAAGGAAUUGGCAGGCAAAAACAGCCUGGCAUGUACACAUAAAAGCACAAUAACAGAGAAGAAAAAGAGGGCACGCGUCAAAAAGGACAAACCGGCGAAAGCAGCGGGCAAAAAGGGAAAAUGGAAAGAUAAGAUAAAAAAGAGAAAAGUUCAAAAAAUUUACAAAUUAUAAAAAUUAUCCACUUCAGCAUGGUCGUAUCGCAUAAGAUUGCCGAGAAUAUUUAGAAGUCUUUAAAAGGUUUAGGAUUAAAUUAGUAAUUCAUCAAAAAAUUUAAGAUUAAAUUGACACGAUUAAAAUUGGUAAGUCGUCAAAAAAUUUAUAAUUAAAUUAAUAUAAUUAAAAUAUUUAAAAUUGAAUUUGUUGCUGAGCUAUACAUUUAGAUUUUUUUUGGAUAAUUUUUCAUCAUCGCUGGCCAUAUUUGAUACCUAAAUUUUUCAUUACUAAGAGUCUGUCACUUACAUUAAAAAAAAAUAAUAAUAAUUAACCGAAUAAAAAUGACAAAACAGAGAAAAGGGAAUUGAUAGGCCAAAACAGCCUGGCAUGGGGCGGAUAAAAGGAGAGCAACAGAGAGGAAAUGGCAGAACGCUCGGUGUGUAAAAAGAUGCCGAGUGAUGCUCGUGCUCGGUGGGGCAUGGAUAUUUGGUUUCCUGUUUUCAUGUUUAAUUGAGUUAACUUAGCACUUGGUUUUCUAUUCAAUGCAUUUUUUUUAUAUAAAUUUCUGGAGAAAAAUAAAUAAUUAAAGAAUUAAAAAGAAAGAAAGAGGGAGAUGAAAACAGCCUGCCAUGCAACCCAUGAAAGCACGAGAAUAGAGAAAAUUGUUAAUACCACGAAAAAACCCAAAAUAAUACACUUGCAAUAAAUUUACCUCAAAAUUUCAAAGUCAGCUUAACCGAUCCACCAAAAUGAAUCCAAACUAUGUAUCUCAAUAGUAAGUUGAAUUGAUUUCCUAUACAUUGUUUUGUAAUUAAUUGUUAUCGACCAAAUAAAAUAGUUAAAAAAAUUUUAAUCUUCCUUUUGACAUUAUCUUUCGAACUAUUAUUACCAUAAUACAUUUCUUAGGACCCAUUUGUUAUGCGAAAAAAAUUUCUAUCGGAAAAUGUUCUCCAUAAUUUUUGGUGUUUGGAUCAGUUUGGUAUAUGACUCAAUAAAAAAUAUUCUCAUGGUCAAUGGAAAACUCAUACUUAAAUUUAAUAUAAUGAAUUCUUUAAAAAAUUAGAAAAUAUUUUUUGAUAUAUGACAAGACUCCGGCACUUGGAUUAUCCUAAUUACUACUUUGAGGUACUUUUGAAUAUACUGUGAAAAAUGAAUUGCAAUUUUCUUUCACCUACCAAUGCUCGGUCUAGAAGAGGGUGGCUCUCUUUGCAUAGCAUUUCUUAUACUUUUUGGAAUAGCAAGACAAUUAAGAAUGACUUUGAUUUACCUCAAAACAAAAUGCUGACAAUAUGGCGUGCUCUAUGCGGACACCAUGAUUUAUCCAAGGUGUCAUUGCUUUAAAAAUAAUAAUAAUAUAAAAUAAUAAUAGAAAUACAAAUGAUGAUGAUAAAGGCAGGGAUAUUUAUGCUCCCACGUGAUAGUUGAUUGAGGGGAAGUCCAGAUAUCUAGUUCGUCAGCCGUUCGUCACCUUACGGCGGUACAUAGCCGCCAAGUAAACCCUGGAGUGAUGCUAGCGGAGGACCCACCACCCCGACUAUAUAAAUGAAUAUACAAAAAAUCUUUUCAUCCUUCAUGAAAAUAUUUAAUGAUAAAUUGUUAUCAAUGAUGAUAACAUUUUUUAUUGGCUAAUUGUUUCAAACGAUACAAGUAAUCAUUUUUCUAAAAGUGCUUUCUCAUCAUUAAUUUUCCAUGACAAAAAUGAAGCCUAAGUUAACUUAGUACAUGGUUUUCUAGUAAAUGCAUUCUUUUAUAUCAUUUCUCAAGACCUAAUGUCUUCACAAAUGUAGAUGCAUAUUUUAGGACAUUAAGAUUGCAACGUUUUUGGUAAUUUUUAUUACUAUCUUGCAUGAAUGAAAUGUAAUAAAAAGUAAAAAAUAAUAAUAAUAAAUUACAUGAAAUGUAAUAAAAAGUAAAAUAAUAAUAAUAAUAAUAAAUUACAUCUUGCGUGUUAGUAAUUUGGCUUGUUUCUUCUUAAAAAAUAUCAUAAAAAAUAUGUUUAGGAGUCCCUUUGGGGAAAUUUAGAUUUAUUUGCAUUAUAUUUGUAUUAUUCUUCGAGUAUUGUGUUCCAUUUAAAUUACAUUAUGCCAAUUUUUCAUUUUAAGGAGCUAAGCAAGUUACAUCCGCAUAUUUAUAUAUCCUUAAAAAAAAGGGUCAUUUUAGAAAACUUGCAUGGACUUUCCAUUUACCACUCCCAGGGUCAUGUCCCGAUGCUGAUUAACGAGGCCUAUUUUAUUUUAUCGGAUGCGGGCUCGGAUUUUAUUUUACUCGCACUUUAGUUAUUUUCGCCUGAGGGUUUCUCUGUCGGAGCAUAAAAAGUAGGCUAAGUAUCCACCACUGAAUUUCGUAUGUAUUACGCUUGACUUAAGACAUCUAUUCCUAGAACAUUCCCUAGUCGAAUGGUCUUUGGAUAGCACUAACCAAAACCGAAAUUUCUAGUCGAGUCUACGUCAACCCUAAAACAACUGUUUUUACAUUUUUAUUUUUUUUGGUCGAACCUUAUGGUAGACUUGACUUUUGACAAACUCACAAUAUGCAAGUCCUUCUAAAUGGAUAUCAAAUAUUCAGAAAACUACGGUAUUAGUCCUUGGUAUUCCCAAUAUGUCAUUUUCGGUCCCCGGCUAUGCUCUUUUUAUUUUUAUUUUUUAUGGGCACAAACAAUCGAGAUUAUAGUUUUGUUUUACUUCCUUAACUCUAGGAUUUUUGAGAUACUGAUUUCAAAUAUAGGUGAUAUUUUUGAAAUAGAUUUAUGAUUAGAUUUCUUUUACUCAAACAGUAAAUUUUCACGUUUAUUAGCUAAUCGUUUCCUAGAUCAAACAGACCUUAUCUUUUACUUUGUUGUAUUUUUUACCGUCGCCCUUUGACUUUCUUUAAUCUUGAGUAAUUAUUUUUUUCUGACCCCACCCCCCCCCCCCCCCCCCCCAAAAAAAAAGGUAAUUAUUGCAUUCAUCUAAAAAUAUUGGCACGUACGUUCGCCUACAUAUUUUUCAUAACUUUCUAAAAUUUAAUUAGUACUUCAAGCUUUGGUGGGAAAGCAAAAAAGAAGUUCUUACUUUUUAUAAGGAACUCGUUUUCGCUUCAUGAAGUACUGCCAAAAUGUCCCCCUACCUUUGGUCUGAAUUUUUGAAACAAUUAGCUUUUCAUGGACAUUUUCUGCUAAGAGUCGGCAAACGACCUAUUUAGACAAUUUCCGAGCGACUUCCGUCUUGCACAAUUCAAAGAUGGCGGCUGAGUUAGUGAUUUGAAAUGUCCAAUCUUCCUUUUUGUUCAUAGCUUUUCCAAUCUUUUAUCUAGCGCACAUUUGAAUUGAUACAUAUCGUGAAUCUUCUUGGCACAACCCAAUUUCCAAUUUUAGCGUCCCAAUUAUAAGCUGAGUUACGAAAAGGGAAUAAAAAAAAUUAUUUUUUAGAGGGGCCUUUUGGAACUAGGGAUAGAUGUAUUAAAAGUCCUAAAAAUCAUUAUAAAAGUGCGAUUGAAUUCUAAAACUUUCAAAAAGUACAAUUAAGAUCUAAAACUUAUCAUGAAAGCGCAAUUAAAUCCUAAAAUUUUCAAAAAGUAUAAUUGAGUCAUAAAUCUUUAAAAAAGUGCAAUAGAGUCCUAAAACUUGUCACGAAAGUACAAUUGAGUUCUACAACUAAAAAGUUUUAUCAAUGAAGAGACUUGAUUUGACCAAUUUGAUAAAUUUUAGGAUUUGAUUGUACUUUUUGAAAGUUUUAGGAUUUCAUUGUAUUUUUGUAAGACUUAAUUACAUUUUUUGAAAGUUUUAAGGCUAAAUUACAUUUUUUUAAAAAUAAAUUUUAGGACUUCUAAUAUAUUUAUCCUUCGGAAUUACAAUUGUGAAAUAGUACUUUGGAGUGGGUGUACCAUGUCUUCGGAGAUAUAGAUAGAAAAGACAUUGUGCUUCUAUGACUAAAGAGAUUGCUAUCCAAGGUGUGUUGGAAUGAUAUGUCUGAUCAAAUGCAUAACCCAACUCUGUUUGAUGAACUUAACCGUCUCUCAAACGCAUUUCAUCCGAAUUUCCCAACUCAUUUUCCAAGCGAAUUCAUGUCCAAAGCAGAUUUCAUGCAGCAAAGCUUAGGUAGAGCACACCCAUUUGUGUUAAUUAUUAGCGAGGGAGCGAUGAAAAAAACUUUCCUUCUUGUUGAAAUGAUUGUGCGGGAUGACAAAUUUCAAGUUGCUCAGACCCAUGCUUAAACUUUAACCUCGUGAGAUGCGCGUUGGUCUCUCGAAUAAGGCAGCUCGUUCUUCUUUGUCACAGCUUUAGCAAGUGAUCCUCAACAUGAAAAAUCAUCAAAUAACGACAAGCAAAUAUUUCCCGACCUCAGGGGGUAACUUGUUCCAAAUUCCCAACUAAGCAAGAUCAAGCGAAACGGCUGGUGUACUCAAAUUUUAGCUUAACCAAAUCACCAGAACACUUCACUACAAGGGUUCCGGAAUCAGAGAUUAUAUCAUCCCUACUCAAUUUUCUACCAUAUUUGCUGUUGGAAUUCAAGUUGGCGGAAGACGACUUACUUUUAUCCGAUGCGCAAACAACAAUUAGCCCCGGAACGAACGUUGAAUUGCCGAUGAAACACAAACAAAAUUACUUCACGUUGGUCUAAAUGCAAUCACAAAGAAAGCAUCCGAUUCCCACAGCAUAAAUGCCAAUUGUUCUUGUAAAGGAGAAAUGUAAUGCUUCCUUUUCUUUUGAUGGAAAGGAGACAAGACUGAGAGAGAAUUCUGAGUGUACGUUCUGCCAAACCGUGCCAAAGGUUGUCUUCCGGAGUCUUUUAUAUGACUCCAUCACACGCCUUCAAAUGGUGUCUUUCCAUUGUAGCGUAUCAAGGUGAAAUUGUGCGUUCACAUCGCACCCCAUCAUGGAUGUAAUAAUAAUAAAAUACUACAUUUGCCAAUGUUCAUCUUUGGUUUCUGUGAUCUCCGUGGAAUCGGGGGUGACUUCCCUAGGAAGUUUUGUUCCCCUCUAGCUAACCCCGUCCACCAAAACACUCAGCAUGCAAAUCCACAGUUAAUGAUAGACCAAAAUCCUAUUCAAUCUCCUUAUCCAGCUUAUUCUACCUAAGUGCACCAGACUUAUAAUCCCUGAAUAAAGCCGAGGAAGACACCAACAGAUGAUUAUUAUCAUGUCUCAAGUGAAGCAAUUCCUUUGAGGCAUAUCAUUAAACAGUCACCGUGCAUUAUCCAUUUGGCCGCAAUGGAUCAAUAGCUAAGAAAAACUUCCUGACACCUCCAAGCAGAUAUAACAGAGACAAUGUCAGAAUGAGUGAUUUCGACUUCGUUUAGGAAGAUCCUAGUAGUACCGGUCGCACGUGGAGCGAAUCAUGGAUCAGUUCCUGCUGUUGAGCUUGAGACUGCGGCAGGGAUGAAGCGAUAGGAGCUUCGUGUAUGGAGGUUGUGGUUGCGGAGAAGAAGAUGGCUCCAUAGAAAGGAAGAUGGCGAAGCAACUGAGAGAGAGUUUGGCGGGCCGAGCCCGACUUGAGCUACAGUGAUCGGGCUUUAUGGAUGGGCUGGAUUAGUGACCCGAUGGGUUGGGUGCUUUAUUUAUUAUCUUUUAUUAUAUCUUUAUUUAAAUUUUAACAAAACUCUAAUAUUUAAUUUACCGGUAAAAAUUCAGAUGCCAACAGUUUACUUUUUUAUUUAUUUAUUUUAAAUUCCAGCAAAUUUGCUCUUCAGGGGUCAUAAAUUACUGCAUUUGUAUCAUUCUCGUACCCUUUAAUUUGCUAGUAAUCAUUCAAUUAAAAGAAAUUACUAGUAAUGAUACUUUAGAUACCUUUACUUUGAAAAACCAUUUAUUUUCCUGUCGAAAGGCAACGACAAAUCAACAUUCACAAAAAUCCAACAAUUUCCAUCUCUAUACUAAUUUUUCACUUUUUCGGCGAAACACAUAUAAAAUCAGGUGAGGUCUAUAUAGGCCAAGAUUGAAAGAGGAACCGCAUGGCUAGACUUGCCUAUGUGCACUUCGAGCUCGGGAGGGUCUAGUGGGCUGUGAUAUUUAGGGAUUGCAAUUGUCUUUUAUGGCUAGCGAUGGAGGGAUGAGAUUUGAGUAAUUAUGUUCACUUCACCUUUGACACUAGAAGUGGCUGAUUAGUGAUGUUGCUUUCUUUUAACUCAGGAAUGCAAUGGGUUACCUAUCUAUUUACUGCUCGUUUGUCAAGUAUUGAAAUGACUUUUAUUUAGGAAAAGCAAUCGGAUGAAGCUCAUCCAGUAAAAUGUCUCGGAUACAUCAAGUUGCUUGGACCCCAUGCUUUUGUCCAUGGCCUUACCCGUAACCCUAGCAUUACCUUACCCGUAAUCCUAGCAUUAAGCUAGAAGAUGCGGCACAUAUUGAAUAUCAAAAGGGCACCCCAAAAAAUGACAAGUUUCUAGUAAGUCAGAAAAAUAACUCGCUACUAAUACUGUCGGCUAACAUUAAAUAAUGAUAGCCUGCUGAUAUGAUUAUAUUGAGAUCGAUUUCAAUUUGUGGAAGUGCGCGAAAACUAACAAGCAUGUUGUGCAUGAAAAUAGGCUCAGGCCACUUCCACUCUCCUUGUACCCAGAACUAAUUCGCCAUGAGUCACGAUUCUUUGCACUCCUGACAACGUUUGUAGCUUUGUUAUUGAUUCACAAGAUGUAUUGCAGCAUGAGUUUGUGCUAGUUUUGUAAAGUGGUAACGAAAAAAUUGAAGAAUUUGAUAGACGGUGAAAACCUUGUUAGAAAAACAAUUCUGCGGAUACAAAAAAGACAAAAAAGAAGUGUACUUUGUUGAAAGCACUUCAGAAGGUUUCAUAAUAGCGACAAAAACAUGUGAAGCAAUCUAAGAUAAACUACAUAGCGAAGAUGUCAGCAGAUACCGUGAUUGAUUGACCGGACUUGGUCGAAUUAAUGCAGGAAAUGUAAACUGCAUGGAAGGACGACACACUGAAUUAUGACGAACCCUCGUUACCCAAAAGCUAGUACACAUGAAUAAUUACAACCGGAUCAUAUAUUAUGGUGUCUAACUUGAAAGCUACCUCCUGGGCAAUAGCUAGUGAAAAUAACAAGGGUUGAAUAUUGGGGAAGCUGAAAAUUCUUGAGAUUGAACCUGAGAGAAUGGCCGCCUCAUCAUAGUAACAGGCGAGACUUGAAUUUCAAAUGUUUCCAUUGCUUGUACAUGCUGACUGUCUCUUCAAACCAAUCAUCUCUUAAAUUUGGGCAGUCGGAAAUAGUUAGUGAGCACUCAUCUGAUAAUUUCCAAUUGAGUACAUUUGGGAAACUUCUUAGUGAUAUGCAACCUACAAAUUCCAAAUAUUUGAGAGUCUCUAAUUCAUCCAAGCCCUUAAUUGCCAGAAGCUCUUCGCAUCCUCGAAUUACCAAGGACUCCAGCUUUUUCAAAUUCGAUAGAUCAUCUAGACUUUCAAUCUUAGGACACUUGUCUAUUUCCAAAUGUUUCAAGGACUCCACUGAACCAAGACCUUGGAUCGUAGUUAGAUUUGGGCAAUCGCUCAGCCUCAACAGCUUCAACCUCGUCAAACUCAAAAGACCCGCAAAUCCCUCGAGGUGUUUUAACCCUUCCACUUCGAAUUCUAUCAACUGUUCGAGCCCAUCGAGUUGAACUUCCUUCCAAAAACAGUGACUAAUGUGCAGAUGUGUCAAUUUUCUCAAGUUGCAAUGAAAUGAUGAGCUGGCUAUUGAUUCAUGAUAUUGGGCACACAAUGUUGACAGAGACGGUGGAAGGUUUGCGAGGGAUUGUCGGCAUGGACCAUCUUGGGAGUAAAGACGACGCCAGUUCUCAUCAUGACCACCAUAUCUAAGAUUCACCAAUUCAGUGAGGUUUGAGAGAUCCGGGAUCCAUCUCAACGAACUUGAUCCGAGUUUUAGGC